AUCUACCACUUCUCAAUUUAGUGAUAUUUUUAUACGCCUCGGCAUAUAUAUAUAUCUCUUAAAAUUUCUGAAAUAUUAUAUAUAUAUAUAUAUUGUUUUAAAUAUGUCUCUCGUAUACUUCUUCGUUAUUGAAAAAUAAUACUUUUGUUAGUAUCCGUUAAGUUAUCACAAAGUUAAAAAGAAGUCAAGAUAUCUCUUUUGACUCUAACUUGAAGAUAAAUAAAGAAAAGUUGACAACUGUAAAAAGAUAUAUUUGAAAGAACCCGAAGUCAAAAUACUUUUUUUGCUGGUAAUUUAAGGGCAAAUAAGAAAAAGUUAGUGAUGGUAAAAUAGUAUAUUUGAAAGCGCAAAUUAUAGAGAUAAUAAUGACUGUUCCUAACAGUUCACUAAGACCCUGUUUGGUUGGGGAACAAGGGUGGGGAUAAGGGGUUAUCCCCUCCUUGUUCCCCAAACACUAUAUUUAAGGGUGGGAACAAGCUAUUCCCACCCUUAACGGGUUAUCCCAGGAUAACCCGUUAAGGGUGGGAAUACCUUGUUCCCACCCUUAGGUAUAGUAUUUGGGGAACAAGGAGGGGAUAACCCCUUAUCCCCACCCCUGUUCCCCAACCAAACAGGGCCUUAGAGCACCAUUAGAUUUCAUUUCUAGAGUAUAAAACCCUAAUCCAAGCAUUCUGCCAUUAGAAGGCAAAGAGCUAACCUCUACUAAGCUCCUUCUCCAAGCUAAGGAAGAAGACAACAAUGGUGGUCCUCCUUCAAGCUCCAAUCUCCAUCUUAUCCUCCUCUUGAUUCCACUUAUAGAGAGAGGAAGAGCUUCUAGAGAGAGAGAGUGUGUUUGUUGGGUGGUUGCAAUUGAGAGAAAUGAGAGGGNCUAAAUUCAAAAAUUAAAAUUUAUAAUUUUAAAAUUACAAAAUUAAAAAUUUAAAUUUUAAAUUGUUUAAUUUAAAAUUUUAAAUUUUGAUAUUUUAAUUUUUUUAUAUUUAGAAUAUGAUAUUUUGUAUUUUUAAAUUAAAAUUUCAUCUUAAAUUAAAGUUCAAAAUUUUAAAAAUUAAUUUUUUAAAAUUAUAAAUUUGAGAUUUUAAAAUUUUAAAUUUUAAUUUUAAUUUUUAAACUUUAAAAGUUUAUAUUUUAAAUUUUAAAAUAUAAAUAUAAAAUAUAAAAAUUUAAAUUCUAAUAUAAAGAAAAAAAUAAUAAUAUUAUUUUUUAUUUAUAAAUACUCACUUUAAUUCUUAUCCCAUCUUACCUAACCAAACGCUAUUUUUCUUAUUCUCAGGAAUACUCAUGUUCAUCCAAACGCAAAAUUCAUCUAAUCCCCGCUUAUACCUCAAUUUAUACCUAUCCCUGGAAUAUCCACUUUUUGCUUAUUCCCGAACCAAACGAUAUCUAAUAGAAUUAAACUUUAAAAAUAUAUUUGAAAGAACUUAAAACGUUAAAAGAGUAUUUUUUAUAUUAGCCUUCUAAAGUGGAUAAAUAUUAAGUAAGUCUGAAAUUUUUCAGAGGUAUAUAAGCUGUUGCUCCUAAUUUUGAAUUCAAUAGAAAAAGAUUGAACCAGACAAGUAGAUUCAAAUUUUGAAUCUCUCGCUCUAAUAGCAUAUUAAACAACCAUUUGCAGACAGGGACGGAGCUAGAAUUUAAGUUUUGGUGGUGUCGAGCAACAAAUUAUCUAGAUAAUUAUUUAUUAAAAGAUAGUAACUAAUAGAUAGAUAUUUUUCUUUCGUUAAAAAGAUGGAUUUGGUGGAACCGCCCACAAUAUGAGAGUGCUUGAUUCGCCGUCCAUGUGUUUUUGGAGAUUUGUGUCAUUCGCGUGAUGAAUAAGGGAGGAGCACUCUCACUGUUCCUGUCAAAAUCGAUGUAGGUUAUUUGAAUCAAUCUAGAAUUCUUCUAGAAGUUACUAGAUAGAACUAAAAAUCACAAUUUUUUUUGUAAUAUUUUUACUUAUGUAUCGAGUUGAGAUCCUUCUAGUAGCAUAGAAUUUCCAUUGGAAAUCAAAGUCAAUAAUUCCUCAAUCAAAUAUCUAAAAAUAUUUUUCAAACAAAAUUUUAAUUUAUUGUAUUUAACUGUCAAACUAAGAACACUAAACCGUAAAAUAUAAAAUAAAAUAAUAGUAAAAAGCUAUAAAUAUUUUUUUCUAGCAGCUUCACAUAGUCUAAAAUAAUUUUAAUCACACCAAUCGUCAAAUCAAAUAUCCAAACAUGGAUUUUGUGGAGUUAAAAGUUAUAGUUUCAAUUAAUAAACAUUACAUUCUGUAAAAGACAAAACAAAAAUUUAAAAAAAGAAGAGAAAACUAACACUAGGUAUGUUUUAACCCUUUCUAAUUUUUCUUUUAUAUAUCUUGUACAAUUCAAUUCAUUAUUAGAUAUAUAUUUAAUUUAGUGAUUCCUUACUGGGUCAUGGUGUUAAAUCUGGCGUGAAGGAUCCUUGAACAUGGACUACGAGUUUAGUCUUAGACUUAGACAUAUUGAAUUAUUAAUUCCUUCUAAAUAUUAUAUUAUUUUUGUAACAUAUGUGACAACUAUAAGCUCUCAUAUACUCAUCAUGUGAUCAGCUAGCUAACUCUUCAUUUGCACUACUUUUCAAGCAAGUUGAAUAUACUUUAUAUUUGGAAUAUAUAUAACCAUAAAAUAUUUAUAUGUCAUUAAUUAUUUAUCACUGACAAAGUACAAGUAGUUUCUAUAAAUUCACUUUCUAACCACCCAUCAAGUUUAAUAGGUGGUUAGAAUGAGAGAGGGAGGAGAUAUUGGAAAGAAAUUGGAUGUCUCAAUUUCUCUUAUCCUUGAAUUUCUCUUCAAUAUCUCUUCCCUCUCUCAUUCUAACCACCUAUCAAACUUGAUGGAUGGUUAGAAAAUUAGGAGCAUAAGAGCUGCUGUGAUUCUAAUAGCACAGUAGACCUGCUCUCUCUCUCUCUCUCUCUCUCUCUCUCUCUCUCUCUCUCUAUAUAUAUAUAUAUAUAGAGAGAGAGAGAGAGAGAGAGAGAGAGAGUGAGAGAGAGAGAGAGAGAGAGAGAGCUGUUAAAAUCCUAGGAGCCGAAAUACUAUUGAUAGUAUUUAGGCUCUUUGGCUAUUAAUUUUUUAGUUGUUAGAUCUACAAUUUAAUUAAUUCGAGACUUUAAAUCAAACUAUUUAACCAAUCACCAACUCAACCCUAGGGAGACCACCAUUAAACCCUAGUAGAGGACCACUAUCCUAAUCCUAUAAUUUUUUAUCUGAGGAUUAAAAUCUCGAUAGCAAAAGAGUCCAAAUACUAUUACUAGUGUUCCAGCCGAAUUAUAUAUAUAUAUACUAUACUAUACAUAUACAUAUAUAUAUAGAUAUAUAUAUAUAUAUAUAUAAUAUAAUGGCUGGAUAACAUUAAUAUAAAACCUAUUUUUGCUAUCAAGUUUUAACCCUUGGAGAAAAUUGUAGGUCAAGAUGUAUAUUAGUCGUUAGAGUUGAUUAGUCCCCCUAGGGUUGAGUGGUCCCCACUGGUUAUAAUAUAAUACCAAUGGUUAAGAAAUAAUGAAAAGAGUUGAUCCAAAAGCUAAAAAACUGGUAAACAAUGGAUUUUGCUACUAAUAGUAGCCACAGUCCAACUCUCUCUCUCCUCUCUAUAUAUAUUAUAUAUAAUAUAGUGAGGCUACUAUUUAUCGGAAGCACGGAGCCUUCCGUGCUUCAGCUCGUUUUCGAUAUUGCGAUUUUCGAAUCGUCGAUCGGCUCCGUAAACUUGAUCUAGAGUAUUAUAGUAUCUAGAAAAUAAAUUUUAUGAUUUUACGAUACAUUUGCCUAGUGAACGAAGGGCUCAAAAUCAACAAAUUAAUAAGACCGUAGUGAAUCCGUUUGUCAAGUUUAACGUGUAGAAAUAUUCAAAUAUUGAUAUGUAUUUAAGCUAGUUCUAUAUAUAAUAUAUAUAUAUAUAUAUAUAUAUAUAGAACUAGGCUUAAAUACAUUAAUAGGCACAAUGACUUAGUGCUAUUAAGUUUUUGCCCUUGGAUUAAAAAGUUGUGGUUAGGAUGAUGUGGGCCCCUUAUGUUGAGUGUGGUGGUUGGGUGAAUAUAAUAAUCGAACGGAUUAAAAUGAUAAAAGAGCUAAAUCUAACGGCAGAAAACUUGAUAGCACCAAAAUUUUGUGCUAUCGAUAGUACCCAAUCGGACUCUAUAUAUAAAUAUAUAUAUAUAUAUAAAAUAUAUAUAUAUAUAUAUAUAGAUAUAUAUAUAUAUAAUAUAUAAUAAUAAUAUAUAUAUAUAUAUAUAUAUAUAAUAUUAAUUAGGCUAACUAUACUACUAUCAUACCGGGAACUCUGGUACCAUAGUCUGUUUUAUCGAUUUUAGGGUGUUCAAAUUAACCGAUCCACCAACAGUUAAAUAUAUCUAGGGUAAUAUUGAAUUCUAGAAAUAAAAUUUAUUUUUUCGACAUCGUUAUUUAGUAAAAAAUUAUAUCAAUCAUUAUUGGUAAAUGAAAUAAUCUAAAUUUGCAUAUAGGACUUUAAAUUCAAAUCAAGAAUGUUAACACUUAAUCUAGAUAGUGUUAAAAGUAUUUUCUAAUCAAAAUGAAGACAAUUAAGAAUUAUUUACACCGUUAAAACUCCAACUCCCAUAGUACCAUUGAAAAUGCAAUUUUGAAAAUUGUUUGAUCAUAAAUAAACUAAUGUCGAAAAAAUAUAAAAUUUAUUUCUAAAACUUUAAAAUACGCGCUAGACAUUUAACACGGUGUGGAUUCCGUUGAAUAUUAAACACCCUAAGAUUGAAAAAGGGACUAUGAGUUCCGGAGCCCCGUACUAUAGAUAGUAUAGAAGAAGCUCUCUCUCUCUCUCUGCUCUCCUCUCUCCUCUCUCUCUCUCUUCUAUAUAUACAUAAUAUAUAUAUACAUGUACAUAUAAAUAUAAUAUACAUAUACAUAAUAUAACAUAUAAUAUAUAUAUACACAUAUAUAUAUAUAAUAUAAUAUAUACUAUAUAAUAUAUAAUAUAUACAUUAAUAUAUAUAUAUUAUAUAUAAUAUAUAAUUAUAUAUAAUUAAUAAUAUAUAAUAUAUAUAUUUAUAAGCGUCCGCUACUAAGAGUAAUUUCAUAUUACGAUCGUUCCUCGUACUAAUAAGUUUUUCGAUGAUAAGCUCAGAACGACGACCACACCGUACAUAUUAAUCAACAUUAAAAAUCUAGAAAACUCAAAUUUUAAUAAUUUUCGACAUCAUUACCUUUACGAUCAAGAGUCACAAUGACAAUUAACAGCCGUAUGGAAUACUUUAGUUUAACAGUGAAAGAAUCGAAUUAUUGCAAUUUUUUGAUAGAAAAUUCUAUUCACCUACACUAGAAAAGAUAAUAACUUCGAAUCUUGAAUUAAGGAUCCGACCAUGGCUUUUAGAUGUCGUUCGAUUUUGACACAUAUCAUUUAUCCCACAAUUGAGGACUUAUUAGAAUUCAAAAAUUUUAUUAAAUUUAUUUUCAUAAUAUGUUUCUUCAAAUACUCUAAAUCGCAUAUUUAACAGAGUGAAAAUCGUCGAUUCGGAAGCUCCAUCAAUGCGAAAACAACUUAUAGAUAAGGCAGGCUCAAACUCAUAAUAUAUAAGUAGCCAUGGCCUCAUAUAUAAUAUAUACCAAUACAUAUAUAAUCAUAAAUAAAUAUAUACAUAUAUUAGAUACAUAUAUACAUACCAUACAUAUAAUACAUAUAUACAAUACUAAUAUAUAUACAUAUAUACAUAUCAUAUAAUAAUAUAUAUAAUAUAUAAUUACAUACAUAUAUAUAUAUAUAAUAUACAUACAUACAUAUAUUAUAUACUAUAUGUAUCAUCAUACAUAACACACUAUAAUACUAUAUAUAUAUCACCUACAACAAUAAUAUAUAUAUAUAUAAUAUACAUCAUACAUAUAUAAUAUCAUAUAUAUACACAUACAUAAUAUACAUAUAUAAUAAAAAUAUACAUAUACACAUAUCACAUACCAUAUAUAAUAUAUAAAUAUAUAUAUAUAUAUAAUUACAUAAAUGUAGAUAUAUAUAUAUAUAUAUAAUACAUAUAAUUAAUUAUAUAUAUAUACAUAUAUAUGUAUAUAUAUAUAUAACAUAUAUAUGUAUAUAUAUAUUAUACAUAUAUAUGUAUAUAAUAAUAUUAUACAUAAUAUUAUAUAUAAUAUAGUAUAUACACACAUAUAUAAUAAACAAUAUAAUAUAUUAUACAUAUAUAUUAUAUAACGACAUAAUAUAUAUAUAUAUAACUAAUUGAGCAUACUACAUACUUUAAAAGUACCAACCCCUCUGCUUCACUAAUUUCUAGCCCUUGAUGUCUACUCCUUAAUUAUAAUACCCUUUGAUCAAACAACUAUCCACCUACCACCCUCUUCUCAAACACCUACAUCUCUCGCAUCAAUAGUAAAAAACUUAGAAGCAACCAACCCCGUGGUGCUUUGAAGUAUUUCUCGCUCAAACUAUAAUAUAUUAUAUAUAUAUAAUUAAUAUAUAUAAUAUAUAUAUAUAUAUAUAUAUAUAAAUAUAUAUAUAUAGUAUAUAUAACAUUAUGCCUACUAUCUAUCAAUAGUAAAGUACCGAAGAAGCCCUUGUAUAUAAUUUGGGCCGUUGAUAAAGGAUGUCGGUUACAUUAUACGUCGCCCGCAAUUAAAUUGAUAUGGUUCUCCCUAGGGUUGAGUGUGUGUGGUUUAAUAGUAUAAUCUAACGGUGAAAUUACUAAAGGUAGAAUCUAAGCGGUAGAAAACUCAAAGUACCAAGUGUUCGGCUAAAUGGAGCCAGCAUCCGUCCUAUGCCGGAGACCAUACGUGGGCCAAGUAUUUUCGACAAAUGGUUAGGUUGGAGUUGGCCGAGAUCAUUCAAGUUGCAAUGAGGGCCAGGUGGCCGAGUGCACAAUCGAGACCCUGGCGCUCAUGUUUCGUACACUCUUAAGUAAUGUUGCGUAUUUCAACAGUUUAGCUUUGAGAUUAAUGUUAUCGCCAACUGAUCCGACAGAAGCCAAUGGCUGGUACUUAUCAAUAGUAUAUACGCCCGGACUCUAUACAUAUAUAAUAUAGCUUACUACUAACUAUAUAUAUAGGCCUAGUAUAACUAUCGGUAGCCACGAUGACCCCGGCUACCGGACUUGUUUCAAUACGCGGCUCGUUCCAAAAUCGACCGGUGGGUUCCGUACUAUCUCUAUAACUAUAUAUAUAUGAACGAGUAGUGUGAGAGAGCGAAACACCCACCACCAUAAUGAGCAAAAAGUUGAAAAUACAAUUUAGAUGGAGAUUUGAUGCCGAAAAUUUAUAAAAUAGUUUCGAAAUCUUCAAGUUUAGAUAAGUCUAACGGAGCGAUAUCGACAUUACAAACGCGCAUCAUUGAAACAAUUCGUAGCAACUGAGGCCCUCCUCAACCGAAGUGCUACCACCGACUCUCUCUCUCUCUCCACUCUCUCAACUCUCCCUCUAUAUAUAUAUAUAUAUAGAGAGAGAGAGAGAGAGAGAGAGAGAGAGAGAGUCCGGGUACUAUAUACUUUUAUGAGUAUUGACUCCCUUAUACUCAUAAGUUUUCGGUCCCUAGAUUUAUUCCAUUGAUAUAUCAUUUCCACCCGUUAGAUUAUACUAUUCAACCAACUAUCCACUCAAUCCUAGGGGACAAUUAUUAUUCUAAGUGGGGACCACCAUCAUCCUAACCACACAUCCCGUCAAUUAACGGUUAAAAAUUUAUGAGUACAAGGGGGUCUAUAUUAGCAUUAAAAGUAUAGUAGCCAGACUCUGCUACUAUAUUAUUGAUCGUAUCAAGCGUUUGGUGUUAUCAAGUUUUCGACUGUUGGAUGAAAGAAUAUGCUGUUAGGCUAAUAGUGGUUUCCAGUUAGGAUGAUAAUAAUCUCUUAGGAUUAAGUGGGUGGUUGAUUGAAUAGUAUAAACUGACGAAGGAAAUGAUCAAAAGGUAGAUCUAACGGCAUCGAUAGUAUCAAGAGUUUGGUACCGUCGAUAAUAUAGUAGCCGGACUCUCUCUCUAUGUAUAAACCAUAAUUAGUUUCCUGGAUCUGGAAGAGUUGAAUUUGUUGAGUCAGCCAAAUUUAAAAUAGAAUUAAUUUGUUCUCUUAGUAUUUCUCAGUUUCAUAAUUUGACUUAGUCAUAGUUUGGACUUGAUAAUUUUAAAUCCAAGUGGAGUGAAAAUAAUUAGUUUCAUGGAUGUGGAAGUGUUGAAUUUGUUGAGUCAGCCAAAUUGAAAGUAGAAAUAAUUUUUUCUCUUAGUAUUUCUCAGUUUCAUAAUUUGACUUAGUCACAGUUUUGGAUUCGAUAAUUUUAUAUCCAAGUGGAGUGAAAAUAAUUUAGUUUCAUGGAUCUGGAAGUGUUGGAUUUGUUAAGUCAGCCAAAUUUAAAAUAGAAUUAAAUUUUUCUUAGUAUUUCUCAGUUCCAUAAUUUGACUUAGUCACAGUUUUGGAUUUGAUAAUUUUAAAUCCAAGUGUAGUGAAAAGGAAGAGACUUGAGUUUGACAUUGGUUAAAUACUUUAAAGUUUAAAUUAGACCCCUUACUCUCCACCAACUCCUAUCCCAUAUAUAAUAAAGCCAUUAAAUAAAUACAAAGUAUUUGGAUGUUUAAGAUUAAUUAAAAUCGAAAUCAUGAUGGUCAUUAACCACCCUUCAUACCACGACACUUUAUCUUGUUAAGUAAAGUAAGCGAGUUAUUAUUUUAUGCGGUUCAACUACUGACCUACGUCCAUCAUGAAAUCCUAAUUGCGAAAACACCUCAUGCUUUUUAAUUAGUGCUUAUAAUCACUUUAUUUAUCCAAUCAAUGUUAGAUAAAAGAAAAGUUGAGAUGUACAUAACAUUUCUUAAUUGGGAGAUCAUAAGAAUAUUGAGUUGUAUAUAUACCCCACAAAGAUUUGGCUAAGAUAACAUGGAAAAGAUUGGGAUGGAGUUAUUAAUUUCUUAUUACCAAGUUGGUAGCAUUUUAUACUAUAUUUACUAUGACAAAAGUCUAAAGAUGAAAUAUAAUUUAUUUACAAAGUCUCUUAGUCUAUAGUUGACUUAGGUCAACUAUUAUAUAUGCUUUGCUGAGCUGGUUUGGGAUUUAAAGUAGCACUCAUGCGAUAGCAUGGGUUGUAGGGCUCAUAUUUGUCCCUUCAAAAUUAAUGGUUAAAACAAUGGAGAGUUAGGUGGGUUUUAAUAAAAAAAAAGAACAUGAAUGUUUGGGAGGGCAUAUUUGCAUACUCCUAACUGUUAGAAUUUUUUAGAAGGAUAGAUUUAAAAUGUCAAAAUUGUAAUUUUAUUUAUAAAUUGUUAAAAAAUAAAUAGUAGACUAACGACAACAAAUUAGAGAAAUAAAUAUGAGAAUAUUAGAAUUUUCGAAAGACAAAUGAUCACUUAAACUUUGUAGGAUCUUAUUUGAUCUUCGAUAUCGUACAUGGAUGCUUAUGAAAUUAACCCUAAAAAGUUUAUGAGAAAUGUUAAGUUUAUAACCCAAAAGGUUUGUAAUCUCAUUUGUUAUUCCUUUUUUAACAUGAGUUAGUAGAGGCUUUUGAAUCAAGGUUCACACCCUUGGCCGGUUUCUUGGAUAAAGCUAAUUACUACGCGUGUAACAACUAACUGCUUUAGAUAGUGGAGUGCUUUUUAAAAGUUAAUAAAUUUGGUGGAAAAAUUAUCAAUAAAGAGAUGUGAUUUUGACUUAACAAAGGUUUUCUUUUUGGGUGAUAAAAGUAUAGAUCAAUUCAUUCCAUCAACGGUUUUCACUUAAUGGUUUUCUUUGUGGGUGAUAAAUGUUUUCUUUUCUUUUCUUUUUUUUUUUUUUUUUUUUUUUUUUUUUUUUUUUUUUUUUUUUUUAGUAUUCAGUCUUUGGACUUGCUCUUCAUAUUUUAUUUCAAUUAGAUAUAUCCUAACAAUAUUCUAAAUUUUUAUUAAUUAAAAUAGAAUAAGUCAUCUCGACUCCAAUAUAUAAAGUUAUGGUUUAGUAAUUAAUCCUCGGUCGAUAUUAACAUUGAUAUUUUUAAAUUUCUAUAAAAUAUUCACAGCACAUUUAGUUGGAUGUUGAAAAUAUUAGAUGCUUUAGAUAAGACAGCAGGCAUCACAUAUGUGGUCAAAAUAGAAAUUAAUAGGAGAAGCGGUUAGGAACAGCAGUGAAAAAAAUGUGCGAAUUAAGAUUAGGAACUUGUGGGGCAAUUAAUUCUAAAGAUUGUGUAUCUAGGUGUCAAAAAAAAAAAGAAAAAAAGAAACAGGGACCAAAAUAAAAUAAUUGGUAACCAAUGUGGAAUUAACCCUAAAUUAUGGGUGUCCCAUAGAAAAGCUUCUUUUGUUACUCUGCGCACGGCACCCGCACGGAAGAAGUAGAAUCUCCUCCGCAUAUAUAGGCGGGAAAGUCUGAUUGGACGGCAGAUUCAGCAGUCGCAUAUGAGAUUCUAUGCACGCGUCUGGAUAUUCUGUUUAUGCUUUCACUCCUCAUCUUGACGUAACAGCACGUCCCAUUAACAAAAGGGCACAUUUUUUUGGCUUAAUUAUUCUUUUUUUUUUUUCAUUUUAUAUAAGGUACUCAAUUGUUUUCUUUUUCAAUACUUGCACUGUGAAGAAUAAAUAUAUAAUUUUACAAAAAUACUGGUUAAAAAUAACAUAAUAUAUAUUUAACUUUAUUUUGAUAUAAAAAAUAGCAAAAUAUAUAAAAAUAACUAAAAAUAAUUAAAAAAAACUUGAUAGAAAAUUUUAAUGAGUUUAUUUUGCAGAUUUAUUUUAUAUUCUUUUUAUAAUCUAACCGGUGUCUUUUAAUAAUAUUGUUAGGUUUUAUUUAAAAUAAUAGAUUUUUUAACAGUAAUUUACAGAUUGGCCCGAAAAAAAAGUUUGAUGACAUCUAUGAAAAAAAUAAGAUUAAAAAAAUAAAAAUAAAUCUAAAAUACAACAUAGAGAUUGAUAAAAUAUGAUAAUACAAUGAUGCCUUUAGAAAAAAUAUAUAAUAUAGUAAAUAAAAAUAAUACUAAAGUACAAAGUCUAGUGUAAUUAAGCAUUUAUUUUUUAAACAAAUGAAACUGUAACUAAGGGAUUUAGAGAUAUGAACUCAGAUAGUAUAAAAUCUGAUUAUUAUGACUAUUACUUAUGCAAAAUUACUAUUUAUAAUCCACUAUACCAAUCGCAGUUGGUAAUUUAUGGUUGAUAUAUCUCAGGUUUUCAAGUUCAAAACCUAAUUAUUUUAUAUUUUAUGCCUAAAAGAAUGAACAUAUAAAUCGUAUAGCUUACUAUUUUUCUCUCAGAAAAAAGUUAAUCUUUUAAAAAUUAAAAUUUAAUUUAAUAGCAAUAGGUAUAAUUUGUAAAUUUCAGAAGUUUGGACAUAAUUAAAAGUAGUCUCAACAGUCAACGGCAGAGAAAAUAUUCUUAUCCAAUUUACAAAAUUUUGUUUCUAAAAUUAUUAUUUUAUAAGCAGGACUUGUAAUUAAAUAGUACUAUAGAUUUUGAUUUUAUAGAAGCUCUAUCAUAACUUCAUACUCAGUACAGUGUAGGAAAUGUACUUUGAGCAUUAGGACGCAUAUGAAAAUUUCCUAAUUAGGUACUUAACAAAAUUUAGAUUGCGAUUUCUCAAUGACCCAGUACAAAGGAAAACGAAUAAUACGGAUGUAUUUUGUUAAAAAAAAUACUAGGGAUAAUUGCCUAUAUACUUCUCAUACGUUUGAAAAUAUCUGAUUUAUUCUUCUUUUUUUUUCUUUCUAAAAUACCCUUCAUAUGUUCCACUGUUAUUGCUAAAUACCCCCUCAGUUAUCUUAUAUUAAGUUAACUUGGUUUAAACGUGAAUUAAAUAUCUAUCAUAGUUAAAAAAAAAUUAAAAUACCAAUUUUGCCCUUAACUUAAGAGCAAAUAAGAAAUGUUGGUGACGGUAGAAGAGUAUAUUUGAAAAGAUCAAAAGUCAAAAUACUUUUUGUGCCCCUGACUUUAAGGGCAAAUAAGAAAGUUGGUAAUAGUGGAAGGUAAUAUUUGAAAGAGCAAAAUAGUAAUUUUACAGAGAUAACAAAGUUUAGUAACAGAUUUUAACUCUAGGGAUAUAUUAGAAAUAGGUUAGAACGUAGAAAGGAUAUUUUUAAUAUUAACUUUCUAAGAGAGAGGUAAAUCGGAAAGUCGAAAAUUUUUCAGGAAUAUAUAGGCAAUUGCCCCAAAAUACUAAUAAUACACCCCAAAAUAGGGGUACCUCUUACAACCCCACCCAUUACUGAAUGGGGCGUAAUUAGUCACAUCAUGUGACUGGUGAGCAAAUUUGAGUGGAUCGUAAGAUGUACAUCCUGUUUUGGAUGUAAGUCUAGCAUUGCUCUUUUGUCAUUGAUAGAAUCGGAAUCAUGUGGUACCAGGAAAUUGUGCAUGUACUUUAGUUGUUGAUGAGGGACAGGAUUGUUAAAUACCUGUGCAUUGAGAUUAAUUUUACCCAAUAUGUGUCCAAAAUUUUAUAAUAAUUUAUAAAUUCAGACUCUAAAAGAAUAAUUUCAAUAAGAUAGGUGAUAUAAUUCAUAAGAAAGAUAGAAUAAUUUGUUAAUUAAUAGCUAAAUAGAAUUAGGAGCGUAUAAAUCAUAUCUUAAUGAAAAAUUUUAGGUUAAAACAUUGCGGGGAAUCAUACUAUUCAUAAUUGUACGAUAUACGAGUAUAUUAUCGUAUGCAGUGCAUGCAAUAAAUUUUUAAAGGGUUAAUUGCAUAUAGCUUCCUAUAAACAAUUCAAAUAGUAGAUAUAUAUUCAUACAAAGUUUAACUUUUUAUUUUUAUCCCCGCAAAAGUUCUAUCGUUUACAAAUAUACCCCGUACUGUUAGGAUCCGUUAGAAAAAUAUAGUAACUAUGAGUAAAAUACUUAACCUGGUUAAUGAAUGAGUUAAAUUGAUCUUUUUACCGCUCUUAUAUUAUUUGGUAAAAUGCAUUUUUGGGAGGACAUUUAUGCUUGAUUAGAGCAUUUGGAGAGAUGUAUUUGUAAAGACAAAAAUAUCAUUCUCUUAAUUGCUGUUAAAAAAUCAAGAGUACUCUAAUGACAACAAACCGGAGGAACAAAUAUGAAUAUCAUUAGACUUUUGGAGGGAUAAAUAUAAAACGUUGAACAUUAUAGGAAUAUAUUUGAUAUUCGAUAUGUUUACAUAGAGCUGUAUGCAAAUUAACUCUUUUUUUAAAAGGUAUUUUGCGUAAUGUUUGUUUUUAUAUAUAGUUUAUGUGCCGGCAAUCUUAUAUAAUACUUUUAAUUAGAAAUUUGCACUAAUCAAUUAAGUUUUAUUAAAUAAAGUUCAAUGUUAAAAAACACAUUUUCGAAUAUUUAGUAAUGCUUAGAAGUAUUUCAAAAUGAUUUACCGUCACAUUUACAAGUAUUGGCAAAUUAAUGCGGAGUGUUUAUAUUUCAAUACAUAUGUUAAAUGUUGGUGAAAUAUAUUUUAAUGCUUCGUCGGAAAUUUUACACUUAAAUGGGUUAAGAUUUUAAAAAUUCUGACGCACUAAAGCGUUGAAAAAUUAAAAAUAAUAGUAAAAUUUAUAAUUCAAUAAAUUAGUUGGAUAUAAUAGCCUGCUCAUAUGGCAAUGUUUUUGAAGUAUCAGUAUUUGUUAUGCAGACACUUAUGAACACUCUCACUAAUUAAGCACCGUCUAAAAGUGUUUCUAUAAUGAGAGUUUUUUUUUUUUUUUUUUUUCCAUAGUGAGAAGCAUAUAAGGGUAAAUAUUAGUUAGGGAGAAAUCCGCUUUAGAAGGUGUCAGUAUAAGGGAUCUAAUAUAAGCACCAUCCUCUUGGUGCUUAUAUUUUUAGAAGCACCAAUUCCUUGGUGCUUCUAAAUUUCUAGCCAUUGGAUCUACGCUUUAAUUACUAAUAGUUCUUGAAUUAAAUACUAUUCUACCUGCCACCACUUACUUCCAUCAUCCCAACCUUACAUCUCUCCAUCCAAUGGCUAAAAGCUCAAAAGCACCAUCCUCUUGGUGCUUUUGAGAGUAUUCUAGCUCAACUCAUAUAUAUAUAUAUAUAUAUAUAGUAGUAAUUAUAUAUUACUAGUCAUUAUAGUACGUAGGAUAUAUUAUAUAUGAUAUAGAUUAUAAUUUGAAAAUUAUAAUGGUAUAGAACUAUGACUAGCUAUAGGGACUAUCGGGUACGCGUGGAGAUACGGACUGGCUCCGUGGCUACCAGAUUGUUUUCAGAAUGAUUCGACGCCUCGACAAAUCGAGGCCGAUAGCGGGCUCCGUUAGAGAACUAGAAUCUAGCCCAUAUGACGAUGAAAAGUAUUUAGAAACUUAAACCAUUUCAUAAGGCAUUUUCUGAAUAUGCAUUAUGACCAACUAUCGAAGACAAGUAGUGUAAAAUUGAAACGCAGGCCGCGCGUCCACAAGUACGCGGGGCUGAAAAUUAAAAUCUCAUAAAAAAUGAUAUAAAAAGGUUAAAUUAUCAGAUCAAAAUGAUACCUGAUCUUAACUCUAAAAUAGUGAAAAGAAAUUUUAUAAAAAUUUUUAUGCGCAAUGAUUGUCUUUACCACCCGUAAAACCACAAACAAGCAGCCACAUUGACAUGAUGUAAUUGUCAAUUUUGAGAUACUUUGAUCAUUGUCAAAUGAAUAUCGAAAAAAAUCUUAAAUUUAGUUUCAACAAUACUUUCAUAGUGUAAGAUCAAUUUAAACGGAGGCAUCGUCGAUUUUGGAAGCCGCAUCAUCGAAAAACCAUUGGUAGCAAGAAGCGCUGCCGAUGCCCGUAGCAUAUAAAGCCGCCGGUCCCUUCUAAUAUAUAUGAUAUAUUAUAUAAUAUAUUAUAAUAUAACUAUACUAAGCCACAGGCUUACUAAUACUCACUUCGACUCAGUCCAAGCCUGUGUACUCAUUGAGUUUCUAUACGUUAGAUCUACCGCUCUUGACUCAUCUUCGCACCGUAUAGAUAUAACUAUUCAAACCAAUCACCGCUCAAACCCUAGGGGACCUAUCGUCCCAAACGCACCACCAUCUUUCAUCAAAGCCGAAAUCCUCAAAUGACUACAUUUGUACCUAUUGAUAUAUAGUCAGCAAAUUCCUAUAUAUAUAUAGUACUAUACAAUGGAAGAGAGAGAGAGAGAGAGAGAGUGGGCUGGUAUGCUUAUGGAAGCACGGAGCCCUCCGUGCUUCCAAGUUGUUUUCGAUGUCCGGACUUUCGAAUUGACGAUCGGCUUUCUUAGAGUCGAUUUAGAGUAUUUGAAUUACCUAGAAAAUAAAUUUUGUGAUUUUUCGAUAUCAACUGCCUAGUGAUCGAAGGGGCUCAAAAUCAAUAAUUUUAAUGGCCGUGGUGAGCCGUUUGCAAGUUUAACGGUGUAGAAAUAUUGAAAUCAUAUGAAAUUUUGAUAUAAAAUUCUUUAUACCAUAUAAAACAAGAUCAAUAACUUUGAUCUAAAAUUUUAAUAUCAUAUCAUCAUAUUUUGUAAGAUUUUUAUUUUCACCCGUUGAUUUUGAGCAACUUCGAUCACUAGGCAAAUGAUAUCAAAAAAUCACAAAAUUUAUUUUCUAGAUACUUCAAAUACUUUAGAUCAAGUCUAACGGAGCCGAUCGUCAAUUCGAAAGUCCGAACAUCGAAAACAACUUGAAAGCACGGAGCGCUCCGUGCUUCCAGAAGCAUACCAGACGCAUUCAAAGAGAGUAUAUAUACAUAUAUAGAGCUAGUCUCCUAUACUAUCUAUAGUACCGGGGCUCCGGUACUAUAGUUCCGUUUUCGAUCUUAGCGUAUUCAAAUCAACGAUCCGCACCGUUAAAACUGAUCUAGUGUAUUUAAAGUUUUUAGAAAUAAAAUUUUAUAUUUUUUCGACAUAGUUUACUUUAUGAUCAAACCAUUUCAAAAUUAUCAAUUUUCAAUGGCUACUAUAGCGAGUUUGGAGUUUAAAGGUGUAGAAGAAUCUAAAUUUCUUUAAAUUUUGAUAGAAAAUGCUUUAAACUAUCUAGAUUAAGGUUAACAUUCUUGAUCUAGAAGUUAAAAGUCCUAUGCCCAAAUUUUAAAGAUUAUUCAAUUUCCACCGCCCAUUUUGACAUAAUUUAUUUACUAAGUAAACGAUGUCGAAAAAAACUAAAAUUUUAUUCCUAAGAACUUCAUAUACCAUAGAUCAUAUUUAACGGUGUGGAUCAUUAAUUUGAACACCCUAAGAUCGAAAACAAGACUAUAGUACCGGAGCUCCGGUACUACAGAUAGUAUAGUAGCCUAAUUCUCUAUAUAUAUAUAUCAAGCCCUUGAUACUAUUGAGUUUUUGGCCAUUGGAUGAAAGGAUGUGCAGUUAGGAUGAUAGUGGUCCCGUAGGGUUGAGUGGGUGGUUGGUUUAAUAGUAUAAUCUAACGGGUGGAAAUGAUCACGGGGUAGAUCUAAUGAUGGAAAACUCAAUUGUACCAAUGUCUUGGUACUAUCAAUAGUAUAGUAGCCAGACUCAUAUAUAUAUAUAUAUAGAGAGAGAGAGAGAGAGAGAGAGAGAGAGAGAGAGAGAGAGAGAGAGUCCGGCUACUAUACUAUUAUGAGUACGAUCUCUCUCGUACUCAUAAGUUGUUUUUCAUGGUAGAGCUUCCGAAUCGACGAUCCACACCAUUAAACGUUAUCUAGAGCAUUUGAAACAUUUAGAAAUCAAAUUUUAUAAUUUUUCGACAUCAUUUACCUUACGAUCAAAAGCUCACAAUAUUGAUAAUUUUUAACGGCCGGUAUGGAAUACUUGCUAGUUUAACGGUGCAAAAGAAUUCGAAUAGAUUGAAUUUUUUACAGAAAAUUCUAUUCACUACCUAGAUAUAGAUCAAUAACUCCGAUCUUAAAUUGAAAGAUCUGAUCAUAGAUUUUUAAGACAUCGUUUGAUUUUGACCGUUCAUUUUAUGCCGGCUUGAUGGACUUUAUUAUGAUUUCGAAAAAUUACGAAAUUUAUUUUCUAGAAGUUUCAAAUACUCUAGAUCAUAUUUAACGGAGUGGAUCGUCGAUUCGGAAGCUCCACCAUCGAAAACAACUUAUGAGUACGAAGGGCCCAAUACUCAUAAUAGUGUAGUAGCCCUACGAUAUAUAUAUAUAUAGGAUGGGGCUACUAUACUCUUACGAGUAUAGACCCUCUUGUACUCAUAAAUUUUAACCGUUGAUUGAUGGGAUGUGUGGUUAGGAUGAUGGUGGUCCCCACUUAAAAUAAUAGUUGUCCCCUAGGAUUGAGUGGGUAGUUGGUUAAAUAGUAUGAUCUAACGGAUGAAAAUGAUUAAUAGAAUAAAUUUAAGGGCCGAAAACUUAUGAGUAUAAGGAAGCCAAUACUCAUAAAAGUAUAGUAGCCGGACUCUAUGUAGAAUUAGACUACUAUACUAUCUAUAGUACCGGAGCUCCGGUACUAUAGUCCAAUUUUCGAUCUUAGGUUGUUCAAAUCAACGAUCCACACCAUUAAAUAUGAUCUAGGGUAUAUGAAGUUCUUAGGAAUAAAAUUUUAGGUUUUUUCAACAUCGUUUACUUAGUAAAUUAAUUAUGUCAAAAUGGAUGGUGAAAAUUGAAUAAUCUUUAAAAUUUGAGCAUAGGACUUUUAAAUUCAAGAUCAAGAAUGUUAACCUUAAUCUAGAUAGUUUAAAGUAUUUUCUAUCAAAAUUUGAAGAAAUUUAGAUUCUUCUACACCGUUAAACUCCAAACUCACCAUAGUAGCCAUUAAAAAUUGAUAAUUUUGAAAUGGUUUGAUCAUAAAUUAAACUAUGUCGAAAAAAUAUAAAAUUUUAUUUCUAAAAACUUUAAAUACCCUAGAUCAGUUUUAAUGAUGUGGAUCGUUGAUUUAAACACCCUAAGAUCGAAAACGGAUUAUAGUACCGGAGCCCUGGUAAUAGAUAGUAUAGGAGACUAGCUCCUCUAUCAUAUAUAUAUAUAAUAUAUAUAUAUAUAUAUAUAUUAUAUAUAUAUAUAUAUAUUAUAUAUAUAUAUAUAUAUAUAUAUUAUAUAUAUAUAUAGUAUAUUAUAUAUAUUAUAUAUAUAUAUAUGAGUGAGGUACUAUGCUAUCGGAAGCACGGAGCCUUCCGUGCUACCGCUCGUUUUUGAUGUUGCGAUUUUCGAAUCAUCGAUCGGCUCUGUUAAAUUAAUCUAGAGUUUUGGAGUACUUAGAAAAUAAUUUUAUUAUUUUCGAUAUAUUUGUCUAAUGAUCGAAUGGGCUCAAAAUCAACAAUUUCAAUGGCCGUAAUGAGCCGUUGCAAGAUUAACGGUAUAGAAAUAUUCAAAUCAAGUGAAAUUUUAAUAGAAAAUUCUUUAUACUAUUAAACAAAUCAAUAUCUUUGAUUAUAAAUUUUAAUGUCAUAUUUACAAUUUUGUAAGAUUUUUAUUUUUCAGCACGUUGAUUUUGACCCCUUCGUUCACUGGCAAAUGAUAUUGUAAAAUCAUAUAAAAUUUUUUUCAAGGUACUUCAAAUACUCUAAUUACGUUCAACGGAACCGAUCGACGAUUCGAAAGUCGCAACAUCGAAAACGAGUUAGAAGCACGGAAGGCUCCGUGCUUCCGAUAGUAUAGUAGCCUCACUAUAUAUGAGUGAGGCUACUAUGCUUCUGGAAGCACAGAGCCUUCUAUGCUUCCAAUUCGUUUUCGAUGUUGCGACUUUCGAAUCGUCGAUCGGCUCCGUUAAACUUAAUCUAGAGUAUUUGAAGUAUCUAGAAAUAAAUUUUGUAACUUUUCAAUAUCAUUUGCCUAAUGAACGAAGGGGCUCAAAAUCAACGGCUGAAAAUAAAAAUCUUACAAAACAUAAUAAUAUGACAUUAAAAUUUUAGAUCAAAGAUAUUGAUCUUAUUUUAUAUAGUAUAAAGAACUUUUUAUCAAAAUUUCACGUGAUUUGAAAAUUUCUACACCGUUAAACUUGCAAACGGCUCACUACGGUCAUUAAAAUUAUUUGAUUUUGAGCCCAUUCGAUCACUAGGCAAAUGAUAUUGAAAAAUCAUAAAAUUUAUUUUCUAAGUACUUCAAAUACUCUAGAUCAAGUUUAACGGAGCAGAUCGACGAUUCGAAAGUCGAAACAUCGAAAACGACCUGGAAGCGCGGAAGGCUCCGUGCUUCCAGAAGCAUAGUAGCCUCACUCUCUCUAUAUAUAUAUGAGCCCGGCUACUAUACUAUUAUGAGUACAAUCGCCCUCAUACUCAUAAGUUGUUUUCGAUAAUACAGUUUUCGAAUCGACGAUCCAUACCGUCAAACGUUAUCUAGAGUAUUUAAAACUUUUAGAAAUCAAAUUUCAUAAUUAUUUGACAUCAUUUACUUUACGAUCAAAAGGUCACAAAAUUGACAAUUUUUAACGGCCGGUAUGGAAUAUUUGCUAGCUUAACGGUGUAAAAGAAUCAUAAUUGGUUGAAUUUUUGAUAGAAAAUUCUAUUCACUACCAAGAUAAAGAUCAAUAACUCUAAUCUUAAAUUGAAGGAUCCGAUCAUCCAAUUUUAGGACGUCGUUCGAUUUCGACCGUUCAUUUUAUACCUGCUUGAUGGAUUUUAUUUUGAUUUCGAAAAAUUACGAAAUUUAUUUUCUAGAAGUUUCAAAUACUCUAGAUCAUAUUUAACAGAGUGGAUCGUCGAUUCGGAAGUCCCAUCAUCGAAAACAACUUAUGAGUACGAAGGGCCCAAUACUCAUAAGAGUAUAGUAGCCCUACUCUAUAUAUAUAUAUAUAUAGAGCUAGUCUCCUAUACUAUCUAUAGUACCGAGGCUCUGGUACAAUAGUGUCGUUCUCGAUUUUAUGGUGUUUAAAUCAACGAUCCACACCAUUAAAACUUAUCUAGGGUAUUUAAAGUUUAUAGAAAUGGAAUUUUAUAUUUUUUCGACAUAAUUUACUUUAUGAUCAAACCAUUUCAAAAUUGUCAAUUUUCAAUGGCUAGUAUGGCGAGUUUGGAGUUUAACGGUGUAGAAGAAUUUAAAUUUCUUCAAAUUUUGAUAGAAAAUUCUUUAAACUAUCUAGAUUAAGGUUAACAUUCUUGAUCUUGAAUUUAAAAGUACUAUACUCAAAUUUUAAAGACUCCAUGGGUUUGCUUGUAGGUUGUGGAUCUAGUGUUUUAGCUGUGGUUAGACACUAACCCGGUGGAGCCUUCCUUAGGUCCGUGACUGUCCGUUUGCGUCAGGAGACAGGCGCAGCAUUUGUACAGUGGGUACUUCGAUCCGAAUCGCGUACGUGGUGCAGCUCUGUGAUAUUCUCUUAUCCCUGUUCUUCUAUUGCUAUUUUCGUAUUAUAUAUUGAAUUGCAUCUCCGUUGUUUCUAUCAUACUUAUCAUAUAGUUUCUAUGCUUAGUAUCAUGGUAGAGAGUAGGUAGUGACCCUAUGUGAUACUAGUGACCUGAGUUUCGUUCUCGUACUUCGUUAGUGACCUGAUUGGUCGGUUCUCGUACUUCGUUUCGUGACCAUUAUUUGAUCGGUGCUUUCAUCUUAUGUCUGUUGAACCCUGGUUGGUCGGUUGUGCAUUAUGAAUGGGUUGGUCUGUUUCUUGACUUCUGUUGUUCGAUGACCUUUGAGGUCGGUACCUGAGGGGUAGGAUUGUCGGCUGGUGCUGACGGUAGUUCUGGACUAUAUCGAAUAACUCCCGUGACCUAUCGGUCGUUCUUUGCGUCGUACUUUUGCGAAUCUAGCGAGUAUCUACAUAUUUAUCUUAUUUACUCUGCCUGGUGGUUUAUGUGUGGUACCCUGUAUAUGGGGUAGAGCAGAUGGCAUUCUAUAUUCUAUACUUGUGACCUGGUUGGUCGAUUCUCCUGUUGCAUCGGUGACCUGUUUGGUCGUUCGUUACUUUUCCGUAUAUGACCUCUCUCGUCGGUUCACGUUUUACUGUGAUGACCUAACGUCGGUAUGCCCACUGGCAGUGAUUGUCGGCUGAUUGCCGACGGUUGCUAUUGAUCAUAUAUCCGCAUGAUCGCACAGCUCGAGUGCAUUUCACGUACACCAGCGGUUGAUCCCCGCAGAAGGUGUUCUUUUCCGGAAAAGUGGUCGUACAUCCGACCCGUGACCCAGCGUGUUCUCUUGUGCUAGGGUUACAUGCCAGGUGUGAGCAGAUAUGGCUUUUGCCUGAGGUCCUUAGACGCACACGCGUUUAGAUUGGGUACUUUUGGACUUCUCGUCAGGUUGACGCAUACAGUAUAGUAGCGGUUGUGCAUAUAUACUUCUAGUUUCUUCUUUACAGUUGUCUUGCCACUAUAGUUCUGAUAUCCUUGUGUGUUUGCAGUUGUACAUUACAGUAGCGGGUAGUUGUGCUUUUGUAUAUAUAUAUCUCAUUCGUUCAUUAUCGUUGCUACUGUAUUUUACUUACCAUAUGUUGUUUUAUCUCUUCCUGAUCCGGUGAGUAUCCUCGACCUUCGGCUUGCCGGUAGCCACUGGGGGCGGGAGACAUGUGACAUUUCUCACCUCCCCCAUAUUUUUCAGUAUUACAGGUUGUUGAGUUUUGGGACGGACGUGAGGUUCAUUCGUAGCGGUUGAUAGAGCUUCCGACCCAGGUAUCGGUUAGUUUUACCCUACUAUUCUGUUGUUAUAGCUUAGUCAGUUUAUAUGUUGCAGUAUUUUUAUUACAUUGGAAAAUGUGAAUUUCUGGAUUUUGUAAAAUAAAAGUUUCUACCCUCGUGUAGCGUUUUUAACGAAUAAGGUUUCCGUGUAGAAACAGUUUUCAAAAGAAUUUUCGUGAAUUUAUAUUUAAAACAUGAAUGUAAAACUGUGAUGUGAAUGGGAAUGUAUGAAUGUAUACUUAUGUAUAUUCAUUUGAUUGUGUUGUAUACUGUUUGUUUUUGUACUCGUGUGACGGCCGUGCAAGUACAGGGGAGACUCUGUCCGUGUGAACAGUGGAUUCCUGUAUUUGUGGCGGACUGCGCAUACUCUGGGGUCAAGUUUUCAAAAAAAAAAAAAAAAUUCAAACGCUUUUCCGCUGUAUUUCAAACAAAAAGGGGAACCCCUGGGCGUGACAAUUGGUCCCCUAGGUUGAGGUCCCACUGGGUUAUAGUAUUUAAUCCAAUGGUUAGAAAUGAUAAAAGAGUUGAUCAAAAGGCUAAAAAACUGGUAGCAAUAAUGAAAUUUUGCUACUAAUAGUAGCCCAGUCCACUCUAUAUAUAUAUAUAGAGUGAGGCUAUCUAUGCUAUCGGAAGCACGGAGCCUUCCGUGCUUCAGUCGUUUUCGAUGUUGCGACUUUGAAUAAUCGAUCGGCUCCGUUAAACUUGAUCUAGAGUAUUUGGAGUACCUUAGAAAAUAAAUUUUAUUAUUUUUCCAUAUCAUUUGCCUAGUGAUCGAAUGGGCCUCAAAAUCAACAAAUUCAAUGGCCGUAGUGAGCAGUUGGAAGUUUAACGGUGUAGAAAUAUCCAAAUCACGUGACAUUUUGAUAGAAAAUUCUUUAUACUAUAUAAAACAAGAUCAAUAUCUUUGAUUUAAAAUUUUAAUGUCAUAUUAUUAUAUUUGUAAGAUUUUUAUUUUGAGCCGUUAAUUUUGAGCCCUACAUUCACUAGGCAAAUGAUUUGUAAAAUCAUAAAAUUUAUUUCUAGGUACUUCAAAUACUCUAUAUCAAGUUUAACGGAGUCCGUCGACGAUUCGAAAGUCGCAACAUCAAAAAACGAGCUGGAAGCACGAAAGGUUCCGUACUCGAUAGCAUACGUAACUCAAUAUAUAUAUAGUAUAUAUAUAUAUAUAUAUAUAAUAUAUAUAUAUAUAUAUAUAAUAUAUAUAUAGAAUUAGGCUCAUUAUACUAUCUAUAUACGGAGCUCCAGGUACUAUAGUCUUGUUUUCGAUUUAGGGUGUUCAAAUUAACGAUCCACACCGUUAAAUAUGAUUUAGGGUAUAUGAAGUUCUUAGGAAUAAAAUUUAGUUUUUUUCGACAUCAUUUAUUAGUAAAUAAAUUAUGUCAAAAUGGACGCGUGGAUAAUUGAAUAANNNNNNNNNNNNNNNNNNNNNNNNNNNNNNNNNNNNNNNNNNNNNNNNNNNNNNNNNNNNNNNNNNNNNNNNNNNNNNNNNNNNNNNNNNNNNNNNNNNNCUAAGCAUGAUAUCGACAUGGAAAUAACUGAGUAGAGGAAUGCAGAUAAAAUGCAGGUGCAAGGUUCAAUAUAACUAUAAGGUAGAGUAAACAGUAGGGGUGAAGAAGCGUCACCGAGCGUGCACCACUAUACCGACUACGGGUCGAAGUACCCACCUGUACGUGUCCAACGAAGGUCUCUCGACUGUGGAGACGGUGCAACCGAACCUACGAAAGGUCCAACGGGUUAAGAUCUAACCCACUGACAUGUAACGCUAACUCACAAUCCCCACUCACCAAAACCACGAGAACCGGUUUCCCAAAACCGAUUACCGAACAAACCGGAAGUCCCGAAAACCGCACCGGAACUCCCCCGUCGCUCACCCGUCGUUUCCAAACCCUCGAAACAACACGGGUGACCAGCCAAAAAGGCUGAGCGACGCUACAAUCAACCACAAGGUAUCGUCGGAUGAAUUCCGAAUCGAAAACACAUUCUAUCGGCGGAUUUCGUCGAAAAACGCUCCGAAAACCACUUUUCACCCUCGCAAUAAGAGGGCCGUGCGGCUCAACGGUUUGGCCCAAAUCCAACCGCGACUUUUCCGGAAAAGAACACCCCCGUCUUGCGGUGGGAUCAGACGCUGGUGUUUCUGUGAAAAUGCGGUACCUUGGCGUCGGCGCAAUGUUUAGUAUGCUCAAAGAGAUUCGUGUCCACGCAACUUAGCCGACAAUCCAGUUUGCCCCUCAUGGUGCACAUCGAGCUGCGUAUGGGUAGGGUCAUCGAGCAGAAGCUGGUCGGGGCUGACGUAUGGUCAAGAGUAGAAUUGUUAGCAACGUCGAGCCGAAUCGAUAGGUCAGUUUAGAUAUCCAAAUAGGGAGAAACCGGGCGGGGGGGGCCAAACCAAGAAUCACGGAGUAUUAGUGAACAGAUAAGUCAACUCUAUUUCAGGUUAUCGGUUUAGUUUUAUCCCUACUAUUCUGUUGUUAUAGCUUAGUCAGUUUAUAUGGUUCAGUAUUUUUAUUACAUUGGAACAUAUGGACUUUCAUGAACGUAUUAAAAGGAUUUCUGGAUUUGGUAAAAUAAAAGGUUUUCUACCCCUCGUGGUAGCUUCUAUAAAAGAUAAAAGUUUUCGCGUACGAAACAGUUUUCAAAAUAUUUUUCGUGGACUCCUGUUUAAACAUUGAAUGUAAAACUACGGUGUGAAUGGUGAAUGUAUGAAUGUAUAGCUAUCUGUAUAUUCAUUUAGUUGUGGUUGUAUACUGUUUGUACCUUUGUACUUGUGUGACGCCGUGCAAAUACAUGGGAGACUCUGUCCGUGUGAACAGUGGAUUCCCUGUAUUUGUGGCGGAUCUGGCAUACUCUGGGGUCAGGUUUUCAAAAAAAAAAAAAAAAAAUUUAAACGCUUUUCCGCUGUGUUUCAAACUAAAAGGGGACCCCGGGGCGUGACAAUUUGCGCGGCGUCGCACAAGUACAAGAGUUCAAACAUUAUACAACCACAACCAUUUGAACAUACAAAUGACCAACAGAUAUAUAUUCAUACACCAUUCACCACAGGUUCACAUUAAUACAUUCGAUAUUUAAAUAUAAAUCCACAGAAAGCCUUUUGAAAACUGUUCCCUACACAGAAACUUUUAUCUUUAUAAAACGCUACCACGAGGGGUAGAAAACAUUUUAUUUUACAAAAUCCAAAAAUUCUUUUAUUACAUUCAUGAAAAUCCACAUAUUCAAAUGUAAUAAAAAUACUGAAACAGGUAACUAUCUAAACUAUGUCAACAGAAUAGUAAGGGUAGGAACUAAACCAAUAACCUGGGUCGCAAGCUCUAUCGACCGCUACGAACGUACCUCACGUCUCGUCCCAAAACUCAUCGCCUGCAAUACCUGAAAAAUGGUGGGGGAGGUGAGAACAUGUAAACAUGUCUCCCCUCCCAGUGGGUACCGCAAGCCGGAGAGGGCGAGGGGUACUCACUAGUCAUGGAGAACUAGAUAGAUAUAAGUGCUGGUAAGUAAAGAUGCUGAUAAGUAGGGAGCUGACAAGUAUAGAUGCCAGUAAAUAAAACAGUAGCUACAAAAAAAACAGAUAAGGAUGUACUGGAAAUAAACACUACAGCUACUGUAUGCAUCCGUCAACUGACGAUAACCUCAAAAGUACCCAAUCUCGCUGUCCUAUUGGUCCGAAGACCUCACUGCUCACCCUGUACCUGACCCUCGCAAUGAAGCCCCUGGGUCAGAAGCAUAUCUCGCUGCCCUAUUGGUCUGAAGACCUCAGGCCCAUGCCACACUGCUCACCCUGUACCUGACCCUCGCAAUGAAGCCCCUGGGUCAGAAGCAUUAAUACCGUCGCAAUAAAGCCCUGCGGCUCACGGGUUGGCAAUCCAACCACUUAUCCGGAAAAGAACACCCUCUUCGCGCAUGGAUCAGACCGCUGGUGUUCGUGAAAAAUCGGUUACCUGGCGUUGGCCGCAUUGUAGGGUCAUGCUCAAAGAUCUUCCACGGCAACUUAGCCGACAAGUCCAGCCCCUCAGGGCAACAUAUCGACCUUAUAGGUCAUCAGCAACUGGUCGGCUACGUAUGUCAGAAUAGCAAUCUGUAGACAACCGACCGAAUAGUUCAUAAUAUCCAAAUAGAGAAACACCGCCCAACAAAUCACAGAUAUAGUGACAGAUAAAUCAACUCUACUUCUAAGCGAUGAUAUCGACAUUGGAAAUACUGACGAGAGGAAUGCAGAUAAAAUGGAGUGCAGGUUCAAUAUUAACUAUAAAGGUAAGUAAAAGUAGGGCGUGAAGAGACGUUCAUCCGAAGCGUUGCACUCACUUAUCCGCUACGGGCUCGACAAUACCCCACCUGUACGUGUCCAACGAAGUCUCUCUACUGUGGAGACGGUGCAAAACAAAACCUUACGAAAGGUCCAACGGGGUUAAGAUCUAACCCACUACAUGGUUACGCAACUCACAAUCCCCACUCACCAAACACGAGAUACCGGUUUCCCAAAACCGAUUACCGAACAAACCCGGAAUCCCGAAACACCGCACCGGAACUCCCCCGUCGUCCUCACCGUGCGGUUUAUCCAAACCCUCGAAACAAACACGGCAUGACAGCCAAAAAAAGGCUGAGCGGACCCUACGCUAAUCACCACAAGGUAUCGUGGAUGAAUUCCGAAUCGAAAACACCAUCUAUCUGGCGGAUUUCGUGUCGAAAAACGCUCCGAAAACCAUCUUUUCGAAUUUCUGUAAGGGCUAUGGGUGGACGACAGUCCAUAGAGUUAUCCGUCAAGCCCAAAGUGCUGCCAAUAGCUCUACAUCGAAGCAAAAGUCCUAAAAGCCCAUACCGAUACGUGAAAUCGCAUCAUUUCAUGUGAUUUCUAGGCUUUUCUGGACCGUGCACGCAAACCAGAGGUCGAUUAAUCCGACCGUCGCACUCGCUGACAGGUUUCAUCAUGUCGGAGGCCGUGCUCACCUUUCGGAGCACUGCCGACCACUGCGGUGCGCGCACGAGCGACACGAAAUCUGUGAAACAGUGCGCACAGCGCGAAGGUCGCGACUAACUUGCUAACCAGGGCGUCUUUGCCGCUGUCGGAGGUGAGCACGAUGUUCAACACGAACCCUAGAUCAUCGUGCUCACUUCUCGGGGUGUCGGGGAGUCAUCGGAUCACCGGAAAGGUGGCCGGAAAGCUUAAACUGCAAUGCUGGAACUCAAAAACAAUAUAUCGGAGCAGUGGGAGCUAGGGUUGGUAGCCGGCGGCCGGGAGGCUGGCACUCCGGCCGAGGAUGGGAGCAGCUGGUCCGAGAGGUCCGGGGAGGGUGCUGGCCGGCGGCGGGCGACAACUGAUGGCGCGGCGGAAGAAAUCGACUCCACCCACUCCCUCUCGGUUUCGUGCUUCCCGGCGGCACGGCUGCGGCCGGAGGAGGUCGGGGCGUCUACGGUGCGGCGCCGGAGGCCGAGGGGAGGGUGGUGCAGCCCCCGGUGGGCGGCGGCGGCGCUUGGAAGCUGAACAGGCCCGACCUCAGCCCGCACAGGUCUGGGCGGCCACAGAAGGUUCCAGUGGCGGCCGGCGGGGGACGCGCGCACCGGGUUGCCGGAGGUCGCCGAGGCCGAAAGGAGGCGGCGCGGCCGAGAGGAAGGCGUGGUCGCAGAGCUUGAGCCGGCUCGGACAGAGCUGACCCGAGUUGGCCGCAGGGAGCAGGGUUGGCUCCGUCGGCGCUCGGGGGUGGCCGAGGCCGGCGGGGGAGGACGUCGGGAAUGGGCCUCGGCCAGGGGACGAUGGUGCUCGGGCUUUGAUGUUCCCCCGAGCACAACGAUCGAAGAUGUGGCAAGUCGGGGCUAGAGGGGAAUCGAGAGAAGGUUGGGGUGGCUUUUCCGGCGGCCGGAGCAGCUCGCCGGCGGCCGGGGCAGCUCGCCGGCGGCCGGGGCGUGAGCACUGGUUGGGCAGGGUGGAGGCGAGGCGGCUAGGGCAACUAGGAAGAUAAUUAGGGUUAGGGUUCCCUGGUUGAACCCUAGAACCUAUUUAUUCUAUGUGUACAAUUGCGGAGAACCCCUCUUAGUCCAGUAAUUCUUACCAAGCCCCCCGUCGGCAUGUGGAUUAUCCGUACAGAUCCCUCGACGUUUGAAUUCGUGCAAGACCACGCAUAAAGUAUUGGACCUUUUCGCGAAUAAUCGAUUUUGCCAACUUGACCUCUCAGCGGACUUUUCACGAUUCCCGAAGAUCCAUCCGUCGGAUUUCCGAACGGAUUGUGCCAGCGCGUUCAGCACGACUGGGGCAUCGAAUCUAGCAUUUUAUUUCAUCGAAUUUGGUCUUCGAUCAGUGACGAAACAUGCCCUCUUCGUUUUCACCAUAUAACCACUUAUGUUAAUACAUGUAAUUUCCAUUAAACCCCUUUUUCUCGAUAACCGAGCAUAAGAACCCAAUUCCAACAGAGCCAUUGGGUCCAGAAUGGUCGAGCCAUUCGAAAUGAGCUAUUGGAUCGCUAUGAACGGAGUCCGAUACGCGCCGAAAGCCAACUCUACUCCGUGGCUUCACCGAAAAAACAGAGUUACUAUUCACUUUAAGUGAAAACUAAUAAUCGCGUCUUCUCCAUUCUAGCUCAUUUUCUCCUGAAACUUGACGAGUGCUUAUGUAAUUAAAUUACACAUAUAACCAUCGUCAACAGAGAGUUUAGUUGUACUGUCAAAAUCUCAGUCCUUACAUUGGUACUUUUAAAAACAUAAGAGCUCAAUUAUAUAUAUAUAUAUAUAUAUAUAUAUAUAAUACACUAUAUAUAUAUAUACUAUAUAUAUAUAUAUUAUAUCAUAUAUAUAUAUAAUAUAUAUAUAGUUAAGCUAGUACGUAUACUAUCGAUAGCAAUGGGCUUCGUUGCACCCAUUUGUUUUUUAUGAUAGAGCCUCCAAAUCGACGAUCGCAUGUUGAACAUGAUCUAUACCACUUAAAAGUAUUUAGAAAUCAAAUUUCAUUUAUUUUCGACAUUGUUCUCUAAUCUAUCGAGUGAACACAAAUAAAUAAACGGCUGAAAAUGAAUAUUCUUUAAAAAAUGAUGAUAGGAGUCUUGUAAUCAAGAUCAGAGUACAGAUUCUGUUUUAAAUAGUUUAAAAAAUUUUCCUACAAAAAAUUCAAUUGAUUUGGAUAUCUUUACGCCGUUAAACGAGAAAACGCCUCAUAUCGACCUUUUAAAAAUUACAAAUUUGAAACUAUGAUCAUUAGGCAAAUGAUGUCGAAAAGAUUUGAAAUUUGAUUUCUAAAUACUUCAAGUGUAUAGAUAAUGUUCAACGGUGCCGAUCGUUGAUUUAGAGGCUCUAUCAUCGAAAACAAAUGGGUAGCUGUAGCUAUCGAUAGUAUUCUAACUCAUAUAUAUAUAUAUAUAUAUAUAUAUAGAGAGAGAGAGAGAGAGAGAGAGAGAGAGAGAGAAUUAGGCGGGGAAUACUAUUAGUAGUAAAACACUCUUUUUACUAUCAAGUUUUAACCCUUGGAUGAAAAUUGUAGGGUUAGGAUGAUAUUAGUUAGUUAGAGUUGAGUGUCCCCUAGGAUUAAGUGGUUCCCACUGGGUUAUAGUAUUUAAUCCAAUGGUUAGAAAUGAUGAAAUGAGUUGAUCCAAUGGCUAAAAAAUUGUAGCAAUAAUGAAUUUUGCUACUAAUAGUAGCCCAGUCCAACUCUCUCUCUCUCUCUCUCUCUCUCUCUCUCUCUCUCUCUCUCUCUCUUCUCUCUAUAUAUAUAUAUAUAUUAUAUAUAUAUAUAUAUAUAUUAUAUAUAUAUAUAUAUAUAUAUAUAUUGAGCUAGAAUACUAUCGAUAGCAAACGGGCUCCGUUGCCCAUCCAUUUAUUUUCGAUGAUGAAGCCUUUAAAUCACGAUCGGCCCGUUGAACAUGAUCUAAAAUCAAAUUUCAUACAUUUCUAAUAUUGUUUUCUUAUCCAUCGAGUGACACAAAAAAUGAACGGCUGAAAAUAAAUAUUCUUUAAAAAUGAUGAUAGGAGUCUUGUAAUCAAAAUCAGAGUAUAGAUUUUAUUUUAAAUAGUUUAAAGAUUUUCUAACAAAAUUCAAUUGAUUUGAAUAUCUUUUCGCCGUUAAACAGAAAACGCAUCAUAUCGACCAUUAAAAUUAUAAAUUUGAACCCUUUGAUCAUUAGACAAAUGAUGUCGAAAGAUUUGAAAUUUAAUUUCUAAACACUCCAAGUGGUAUAGAUCAUGUUCAACGGUGCGAUCGUCGAUUUGGAGGCUCUAUCAUCGAAACAAAUGGUGUGCAACGGCUAUUUGCUAUCAAUAAUAUUCUUAGCUAACUUCCUCUCUCUCCUCUCUCUCUCUUCUCUCUCUCUUCUCCUCUCUUCUCUUCUUCUCUCUCUCUCUCUAUAUAUAUUAUAUAUAUAUAUAUAUAUAUAUAUAUAUAUAUAUAAAAUUAUGCUACUAUACUAUCAAUAGUACCAAUUUUGAGACCUUUUGAUUACAAGCCAAAUAAUAUUGAAAAAUUAUAAAAUUUAGUUUUCAAAUAUAGUGUAGAUUAAAUCUAAUAAAACCAAUCGUCAAUUUGAAAGGCGCAUUAUUAAAAAAAACUUAGGGGCUGUUUGGUUGCAUGCAUUUUCAACUGCACUGCAAUUGAAAAUACAUGCAUCUAUUAAUUUUUUUUUGAUUUGGUAUAGUUAGGCCCAACUGCUGCAGUUGCAUUUACACGAGAAGGCCCAACUGUAGCAGUUGGUACUGUAGCCAAAUUGGCUGCAGAACAACUGCAGCAGUUGGGCCGGAGUCGGCUCACCCAUUAAAAUAAAAAUAUGUGUGAUUUUUCUUUUCAUAUGCUUUUUUUUUAAAAAAAAAUUCCAAAAAUAUCUAUUUAUAAAAUCUUGUAGGGUUUAAUAAUGUCUGUUAGGGUCGAUAAAUUUUUUUCAUACGCUUUUUUUUUCAAGUCAAGUCUGCUAGUUUAAUAAUGUCUUAAUUUUUAUUUUGACCAAAUUUAUAAUAUAUUUGUAUUUAAAAUUUAAUAAAUUUAUACAUAAUUUUAUGAUAUACAAAUUACAUAUAGAUAUAAAUGUCUUAAUUAUAAUUAAAGCAUAAUUACGUUAUGUUCAGAAGAGGUAAUUUCACAUUUUAAUCUAAAAAUUGACAGAAUUUAUAAAUAUAAAUUUCAACUGCAGCCUAUCAAAUAGAAGAAAUGUAACUAUAACAGUUGCAACUGUAUAAAACCAAACAGACUAAGUGUAGUUAUGACUGAAGCAUUUAUAACUGCAUGUAUUUUCAACUACACUGUUUUUCUAACUAUAUCCAAUUAAACCGCAUCUUAAUAGCACGGAUGCCUUAUUGCUAUCAAUAAUAUAGCAGCUUAGCUCCUUAUACAUAUAUAGAGUUAAGCUGGAAUGCUAUCGGUAGCAAAUGGGCUACAUUGCCACCCAUUUGUUUUCGAUGAUUGUCACGCUCCGAAUUACUCGUUUUCCCGGGCACAUCGACAAAUUCGCCGUAUACAAAGAAAUUUUCUCUGUAUACGAAAAGAUAGCUGUACCUGUACCUGUAAACAUACGAAACUAUAACCAGUAGUAUAGAGAUGCUAAUAGAACUAAAACCAUAUAAGUCACAUCGGUUCACUAUACAUACAUAGUCUCCAGAUACAAAAGCACUCGCUCCAGCGAGGAUCUAACAUCAGUAUAUAUAAGAACCAAAAACCAACACUACCUGAAGCUGGUACUCCUUUAGAUCAGUAGCAACACUGGAAGGGAUCUAACUCGCAACUCCCUUUCCACGAUCAAGAUGAGUAGUAGCAGCAGCCGCAGAAGAAGACUCUACAAAACGGGGCGAACAACUGGGUGUGAGAACUACUGCAAAAAGAAGUAGUACUCAGUGGGUAUCGCUACAGAUCCUAGCGGCUCACCCACUAAGUCUACAGAGGUACGCUCAAGGAUAGUAAGAAAGCUGGAACAAUUCUACAGCUAUAUGCCACUAUACUAUCACGAUCCAAUACUACUAUCCGUAGAAAAAUGUUAUUUCUGACCCAAUCUCACUAGGGACUGUGAACACACCCAUCCCCCCUGUCUAAACUACACUAACUACCACCACGCUGGGUCGUCAGUGGAGAGCGAGUCCAAACAGGACACAACGACAACAACGCAAAAGCACAAAGUCUGACUCCGGAGUGGCACUCGUGGGCGCUACCCAACCGAGUAUGUAAGCGUAUCUCUGCCGAGCUCAAUCAGGCUCUCACAGGCUAUAGUCAAAACAAAAUGGUCUAACUAGUCUAACAACCAUAAGCUACAUGCCCUCGGCACAAAAUGAUGCAAAAAUAGUAAUCUGGGUCUACUGUCAACCACAACGGCACCCGACAGUCCGAAAUAGUCUAUACAUUACUGUAAAAAUAAACUCAGCAUCCCAGCACGAGCGUAAUUUCAUUCUACACUAUUCUGAAUAUCCACCGCCUACAAACUGUGGUGAUACAACCAAAACUACAGCUCCUAAAACUAAAUCUGAUAGUUUUCAGAAAAUGACAGUGUAGACUUUAUAGUUUUCUCCUAAGUCAAUUUCAAAUCCAACAUAUAUAAUAAAACUAGCAUAUAAAGCCCCAAUUCAGAUUUCAUUUAAAAACAAUGUAAAUCUACGAAUCGAGCUACUAACAUGAUAUAUUAAGCUAAAAACACAUGCUGACAACAUCUAGACUUAGGAGGAAAUCUGAAAAAUCCAGUGAACUUCAACCCACCUCUAGCGCGAGUCCGACAAGGCAGGAAGUCGCUGGGAGAAGCUCUGCUAUGAUCAACCUUGAACCAACAACAACCUUCCCUAAAGAUCUAACACAAGAACAUCAAAGUUUCCAUCAAAACUCUCAAAUUCAGCACUUAAGCCUAAUUCCUCCAAAAUCUCAAUGUCAAACUCACCUUCCAAUCCACAAUUCAGGUAAAAAAAAGUCUCAAAACCAGUAGAGAAUGAUGGAGCAACAUCCUCGGGUCUGAAUCCCGACUUUAUCCAAAGAUUUGACCCAAGAAAACCAUAAAAUCCCAAUUUCAGCCCAAGUACACCAGCAUCUCAGAAAAACAUCAAUUUGACCAUACUAAUCUCAAUCAAUUGCUGUCAAAUUAGCUUCACGAAAUCUGCAAGAAGUCUACUAAUCACCAAACCAAGUUUCGCAGCAAUCGAAUCCUCCUACAUCUCACACGAGCCAAAACGCCGAAGGUCGCUGCUGGAAUUUUGCUGAAAUUGCAGUCCUCAAGGUGGAAUUGUCCAAUUUGGAGAGUUUAGAGGGACUUUGAUGCAAAAUCCAGGCUUCACUGUGAAGGAGGGUGAAAAACCAUCUAAGGGGGCCGACCACAUGCUUUUAUAGAGAGGUGGAAGGGUAGAAUAAGCUCUAAGAAUAAGAAAUACAAACCUGUUGUCCCUACAGAAAUCUGCACUUUCGGGCGCUCGAAACCCACAACUGGGCAUCCGAAACUCCCAGGCAAUACAAAACUCCUUCUUUGGUUCCUCCGCCUGCAGUAUGAUUUGCCCUUAACGUGGUCCGAUGGACCUCACUUAUCUCCUUACACGUGUCAAAGCAAACGCUAAUCACAAGAUGAACAUUCGGGCCCACUUCCCGGCGCCCGAAAACAGGGUCCAAAUUGGCUUCUAGUUCCAGUUCAGUUCAGCACUCAAGAUCUGGACGACCCAAAUCAUGUUCUGGACGCCCGAAACUGGCAAAACUUCAGUUUUGCUUAUUUGAGUGCGCCAAAUCAGUUUCUGCAUCCAUUUUGUGCAAAAACGACUCCGACUCAGUCCGACACUCUCCAGAUGUGUCGACCAGUCGCUAAUACUGUAGCCAGUCUGAUACAAAACUCCCGAGACACUACAAUGAUAAAGCUUCCAAAUCGACGAUCGGCAUUGUUGAACAUGAUCUAUACCACUUGAGAUGAAUAUUAUUUAAAAAGUGAUGCUAGGAAUCUUAUAAUUGAGAUCUAAAGUAUAGAUCUUGUUCUAAAUAGUUUAAAGAAUUUUCUAAUCAAAAUUUACUUGAUUUGGAUAUAUUUAUAUCGUUAAACGUGAAAACAUCUCAUAUCAAUCAUUAAAAUUACAAAAUUUGGAACCUUUUGAUCAUUAAAUCAAUGAUGUCGAAAAGAUUUGAAAUUUGGUUUCUACAUACUUCAAGUGUAUAAAUCAUGCUCAACAAUGUCGAUCGUCGAUUUAGAGGCUCUAUCAUCGAAAAUAAAUGGUAACGGAGCUUAUUUGCUACCGAUAGUAUUCCAGCUCAACUCUCUUUCUUUCUCUCUCUAUAUAUAUAUAUAUAAAAUUUUACACAAUUAUUAAAGGAAGAAAAAUUGAAAGUAUUUUUAAACCUUUUUAAACAUAAUUUAGUCUGAGGUGGAAAAAAUAAUAAUAAGAAAAGUUAUUUGUCUUUUUUUUUUUAUAAUUAUAACCAUAUAUAAACUCCUAUGAAAAUCCAUACUUUUUUGGUCACGUGGCGAUAUUAGUAUAAUUUUAUAUUUUUGUGGGACCUACCUAUCAUACUAAAUUACCUCCCUAGAUGCCACUCGCCCCUCUAGAUGCCUCUCCAACUCCUGAUGCGUCGUCCCUAGAUAGAAAAUUGAGUCAAAUUCAUUGUUGGUCAUUUUUCCCAUCGCGCCUUUUUUGUUAGCAACACUUUGUUCCUGCCGAUUAAUCCCUCUCCGAUUGCAAAUAUGGUUCGGAUUCAUUCUCUAUACUUUUUUCGAUUCCUCGGAUAUUUGUAUUUGUUGAAUCCGAAUGGUCAUUUUAUAUUGAAUGCGAAUUUUUUUGCCAAUAUAAUAUGCCUCUAUAAAAUUUUUAUUUGUGACAAAAAAUCUCUAUUUAUCUGCUGGUGUUAUUUUCUUCUCUUAUUUGGUUUUCACCUUUCAUUUUUAUUUGAAUUUCAAUUUGACUACUUAUUAUUUUUUAAAAAAAAUUGCCGAAUAAUUUUAUUUUGUCUCAGGAAAUUGACUAUUUGUGUACAAUUGAUCUGUGAUUGAUUGUCUCAGAUUUUAUAAGUUCUCUGAUUUAAUUUUUAUUUAUAUACUUUUUUUUUUUUGCCUUCCAAUUUGUUGCUGUGAAUAAUUUAGAAAUUUUUUUUUCCUGGUCCUGAUCGUAAUGCUAUUAUAUAUAUGACAUAAUUUAAUUUCAUUGCCAAUUUAGAAAUAUUUUUGCAAUAAUUAUUUAAAGUAUUUUUUUUGUGCUAAUCAUAAUGCUUUUAGGCUAGGGCUACUAUACUCAUGUGAGUAUAGCCCACUUUGUACUUCUAAAUUUCUAACCAUUGGAUGAAGAGAUAUGCGGUUAGGAUGAUAGUGGUCCCCGAUUAGGUUAAUAUUGGCCCCCUAGGAUUGAGUGGGUGGUUAGUUGAAUAAUAUGAUCUAACGGGUGAAAAUGAUCAAAGGCUUAGAUCUAACGGCAAAAAACUGGGUUGCAAAAGAAUAUUAUAUUUUUACUUUACUACUAUCAAUUUUUGUACUAUUACAGUCAUAUAUUUUUGAGACAGUCGGUUAAUAACAUUUUUUAAAACUUUUUCUAUUAAUUCUAUUUCAUUCUUUUCUUCAUUCUUUAUUGACUAUUGAUUUUUCUUUGAGCUAACUUUUGCAUAUUUUUUUUCAACUUUUACAAUUCUAAAUUUCAUUGUAUCUAUAGCUACUUUUGCUACUGUUGUUUCACCAAUUUUUACUUUUAUUUAUUUGUUAUUUAAAAUUUUUUAAUUUUUUUAAUGUAUUUAUUAUUUUGUCUUUUUUUAAUUUGGUUUAAAAGAUCUCAAAUAUUUCUUCAGAUUAUCUAAACAUUAAAUUUUCUUUUUUUUCUCUUUAUUUGUUUUUUAUAUAGGAAGUAUAAUAAUAACAAAAAUAGUUAAAUAUUAUAAUUUUUAAAAAAAAAUUAAUAUAAAAACUAUGAUUAAAUAUUAAAUAUUAUUUAUCCGUGGCAACGCUCCCGUUAGUACGCUAAUGUGAAGUGAAAUUCCAAAAUACGGUGACACGUGGCGCUGCAAGUGCGCAUUUGCGCGCCCGACCCCCACCGCCUCAUUAAUUACACACCCCACCCCAAUCACCCUCCAAACCCCGGCCCCGACCCCUACCCCCCUAACCCCUCCCCCCGUCUUCAUAUUAUAAAUAUAAACAACCCACCAAAAUGCAUUGAAUCACCAAACCCUAACCCUAACCCUAACCCUAACCCUAGAUCCUUCGACGAGCCAUGUCGAUCCUCGAUUCGAGCUGGAUCUCCGAGACCUUCGCCCGGGAAACCGACGCCCUAACCCGCGCUCUUCAGGUAUCUCUCUCCCCCUCCUCCUCCACCAUCUCCUCCCCCUCGCACCCCUCCUCCUCCUCCUCCGCCGCCGCCGCCGCUCUCCUCCUCCGCCUCGUCAACAACCCUCACCACUCCGCCGCCGCCGCCGCCGCCGCCGCCGCCGCGGCUGCGGGGGCGGGGCCGAGGUUCCAGAUGCCUCCGGCGGUGGCUUCUAGAAGGAUCUCGAAGCGGAGAUCCCGCGCGUCGAAGCGGCUCCCGACGACGUACAUCAGCGUGGAUCCGGCGAACUUCCGGCGGAUGGUCCAGGAGGUGACCGGGGUCCGGUUCGGCGAGGGGGACGGCCCGGCCGAGCCGGCUCCGACCCGGCCGGACCAGAGCCUGUUCGCCGCGGACCGGGCCGCCUCGGGGCUGCCGCCGCAGCCGAGCUGCGGCUUGCCCACGCUCGACACGUCGGCGUUCCUGCUCGACCGGGCCGGCUCGGAGCUGCGGGAGGACGGUUCGGUUGGACCGGACCUCGGUGGGCCGGGGUUCGAGUUCGACCCGUUCCCGUGCUUCCCUACGUUGGAGUCGUGGGGCGGAGUGUGAGGAGGAGAUAAACUAAUAUAAAUAGUAAUUAAAAAAAAAUCGUAUAUUUUUUUAAAAAAUUUUUGGGGAUAAAAAAUGUAUAAGGGACCCCUCCAUUAUAGCUCUGUUUGAAAAUGGCCCCUCAACUUCAUCUGUGGAAUUGAACAAUUUUAGUCUAAAAAAUCAUAAAUAUUAUCAACGUGAUUGGUUCGUAAUUCAUCCAAUUUAAAUAGUCUUUUUCACUUGCUAGCAGAUAAAAUUAAUAAAAUAACUAAAAAUUAAUAAUAUAAACUGAACUAGAGAGAGUAAUUUAAAUUAAAAAAAUUACGAGUUCACAGUUUUUUAAAGAGAAAUAAUGUAGAGGGGACUUUAUUUUGAAACUCCUAUAGUUGAGGUGUCUCUAUACAUUUUUUCUUUUUCUUUUUCCUAGUUCAGUGUUUACUAGUGCGAUGGAAAUUGGAUGGACAUAGUUUUGUAAAUGUAUUGAAGCUGAUUGUUGAUCCUUUUUUAUACAUAUAUGUAGCAACUUUUAUGUACUUUAAAUAGCUCUUUAUAUGUAUAAUUAAUAAAACCUGAACAUUUUUAUCUUUUCUUUCUCUGUAUUGAAGUGCACGUGUAUUGUAAAUAUACAUGGUAAUGUAUUGCAAGUUUAUUGUUUAAGUUGAGCAGCAAAAAAAUAAAAAAAAAAAAUUACGAAUCAUUUGAAUCAACUAUCUAAUUUUUCAAUUUGUUUGACUUGAAACCAGCAACGAUAUUUUAACUUCAAAAUUUAAGCUAAUUAAAAGUUUAUAGUUAUAAAAAUUGCAUAAAUUAUAGUAAUUAAAUUUGUAAAGAUUAAUAACACAUUUAAAUCCGACUGUCUCAAAUCAAAUCAAUUGAAAUAUUGGAUGAUAAAUUAAAAUUUUGAAAGGUUGGGUACUCAAUUUAAAAUGACCCAUAGUUCAAGCAAGUUCUGUAUGUUCUUACCAAAUAAAAAGAAUCCAAUCUUUUUUACUGUUAACAUAUUGUUCGAAAAUGGUUUCGUUUAGUUUGGAUAUACCACUAAUGCUGAUGUCUUAUAAGUAAGCUGGUAAAUUUAGAGCUAUCACUAAUGUCUGGAGCAAUUGAUGAGUAAUUUUGCUCCGAAUACUAGAUCUGAAAUCAAAAUCUCACUUUAAGCUCCAGCAAUUUCUUUUUCUUUCGACAAUCUUUCAAUUGCUGAUAGGAGAUAUAAAAAUUACUACCGUAAGCAGUAUUAUAUGUUUGAUCGUCAAAUAUCGAUUAUUUGUUGAAUCCUGUGAAUCACGUAAAAGCAGAAUACUCCAAAGUCAGAGGAAAAACGCAAGGGAGAGAAGAGAUUCCACUGAUUUGAAUUUAAUCCAUAAAUUUGAAAAUUUGUGAGGAUUUUUAAUCUCUCUCACUAUCUCAUUCAAUUCGAAGAUCCAAUUAAUGUUUGAAUUGAUAUCGUUUUAUUGAUUCCCUCUAAAGAUUUUAUGUGUGUGUGAUUUAUGAGGAUGUUUAUUAAUCUUCCAAUACUAUUUGUUAUAUUUAUUCUGAGAAGAAAAUGAGUAAUGAAUCUAAAUAAUAGAAACUAGAAACUAUCGGACAAAUACAUGAAUGCUGAGUUUCAAAAUUUGACGUGGCGACUUCUCUGACGCUUAGGUUCUUGUUGUACAAUUUUUUUUUUUCUUUUUUCCUUUUUGCACUCUUCUAGUUUUGUUUUGCACCUUUUAGUGGUUUCAGGCUCCACCGAUUGCCCUCACUUUUCGAUCACUCUAUUUUACGAAACAGAUACUUCUCUUCCUGCAUUUCAUAUGCAAAUUACAAGAUUAUAGAUUUUAUGUGCGCAAAUCCUACCUUAAUCUACUCUAUGAAGCAAGCAAAGCAUUGUUUAUAAUAUUUCUGAUGUUCAAUGAUGAGAUUUGAUGAUACUAACAUAUAUAUUAUUAUUAUUUAACUAAGUAAAAUUUUCAAUGGAAUGAAGUGUCAAUUGUAUUGACUCAUUUAUUGGGCCCAGCAGUGAUAAACUAUUUAUGACUUCAACAUAGAUGGGGACAAAUAUAAUAAAUUGGAGACCCAAACCGGGUAUAAAAACAGGUCAUUUGUGACAUAACUAUAGUUGACUUAGUCAUCUAUUCUCUUUCCAUUAAUUGGUUCAACUUAUAUUAUAAUAUUUGCUCUACCAGGAACUUGGUAAUAAAUUAUUUACAGAUUCCACAUUGACUCGUGAACCAUAUCAAAAAGCACUAGAUUUGAAAAUUUUGCUUCUUGCUCUACCAAAAAGUGCUGUUGAAAUACUUACAUACAACUAUGUAAUUUUGCUGAGACAUCAAGCAAAAAAAAUCUAUCACCCAAUUAUAGCAUGACAUAUUAAGCCAUUUUUCUUCAUUUAAAUGAAAAAAAAUAAAAACCUUUAUCAUUGGAUAAAUGUGAUUUAUUCUACAUUUUUACUAACUAUUUUAUAAGUAGACAACUAAUCCAAAUGCGAAUACUUUAGACAAUUUUUUUAUGAGAAAAACUAUUAAAUUAUAUGAAACAAUAUUUGCUCUUCAAAAGCUUAAUUUAUCAGACAAUCGCGUUGAUAAAAUUUAAAUACGAAGAUAUUUUAUACUUAACACUUACACGCUUUAACUUCUAGGUGCGGCGAUUUACUAUUUUAUAGUUGAAUCUCUUGUAUACAGAGAGUAUGAAAACAUACUUAAAACAUGCAGGUCAGACAGGAUUUAUUAUUUUAUAGUUGAAUCUCUUCGUAUAAAGAGAGUACGAAAAUAUGCUUAAAACACGCAGGUCAGACAGAAAGUGAUGUUUUCAGUGGUAGGCCAAUGAAUUAACAAGUAAGAACCUGCUCCUGACAAGGAAAAAUUGCAGCUGAAAAUGAUGGCUAAUACUCCAUAGGUUGAGGAGAUUUGAUUAGCUAGCUUAUGUUGAAGAGUUUCUACUUGUUUUACUUUUUUAUUAAAUAGAAAAAUGUUUGGUGAGAUUGAAAUUUAGGAGCACAUGUGAGCUCAAAUCCCCCACCUCAUUCAAGUAGAUGUUUCUAACUUGUCCCAAAUUAGUCAUAUUUAAUGCAUAAAAUUCUACCUGUUACGCAGAAUUAUAGGUUGAGAACUUAGAGCUCAUUUGUGGGAGAGAAAAAAAAUAAAAAAAGUUAAAACGAAAGUAUAUAAAAAUAUAUUUAUAUAUAUUUUUUUGUUCAAAGAGAUUGGAGAAGUCAUAUCUUGGAAGGCUCAGUGGAGUACACACAACAUGACAUUGCUUAGGGAAAAUAAAUAAAAUAUUUUCAAUCAUAUUUUUCUCACCCUACAAAAUGCAUUAUAUAAAUUCGCAAUUAAAACAAACAGCAAAAUUAGACGAAUAAUUUUUUUUAUUUAAUUUAAGAGAGUGAAUUUAUUAUUAUGCAACUCAAGUUGCAAAGUUAUAAAAGGUGUCCGAGAAAUUGUGAAAUCAUUAUGAUUUUUCAUCUACUGUAGAUUAGGAUGAUUUGUUAUUUUUAUACUUGAUGGAAAUUAUGAACGGUCUUGAUAAGUCUAUGAACAGAUCCGAACAAAUCUUACGAUGCAAAUAGCAUAGUUGGUCGAUAAUAUACUCGCGAUGCCAAAUGUAAAAUACAUAAUAUUUUUUAAAAUAAUUUAAAUUAAUGAAAUGAACUUAAAAUUUUUUUAGAUGUUAGAAUAAGAUAUCUAAUAAUAACAAAUUCAGUAUGAAAACUUUUUAUUUGAUUGAAAGAUAGGAAUUUGAUUUUUUUUCUUUAAAAAAUCUUUGCAUCUAUAUGUUGGAAGCGUGAUUUACUUCCAUAGUAAUUGUCGUAUUUAUAUUAAUAUUGAUUGUAUAACUCAAAAUCUACUAAAAUAAUUUGAAAAAAAUAUUGAUUGUAUAACUCAAAAUCUACUAAAAUAAUUUGAAAAAAAUAUUGGAGGAGGAAGAUAAACUAAAAAUAUUUUUAUUAACCAAAAUACCCUAAUACAUUUCGGCCUCAUUAUCCUUUACUAAUAAGAACAGUCCGCAGUUGCACCUGAGCCGACUGCAGUUCGGAACGGCGGUGUCAGUUCAGACUGCUUCCAAAAAGUGAACGACAUGGCAAACUGCCAACAAUCUUUCCUAAAGAAAGCUAGGCCACGUCAGAAAGUAUUUCAGCUGAACAUUUUCGUACUAAUCCGAAUCCACAAUUACGGGGUUCCGGAUUUGGAUUCUGUAGUUGGAUUCGGAUUUUGGUUUUUAAAAAAUUCACUUUGAUUUGACAGGCUAAUAUUUCUAGUUUAGUUUUCUAUAAAAACAGACUUAAAAUUAUUUUUAAUGUUAAAAACAUUUUUUUUGAAUCAUUUGAUUGCGUGUAAAAGAAAUUGUUUAUAAAAUAAUUUUUUUAAAUUUUUAGAAAAAUUAGCCUUUUCGUUUUCCGCUCAAACUGAACUUUUGUUCCAAAAAUUCAAAAACCUCACGCCGUUCACAAGGAAGCAUCCAAUCUCGUGAAUCUCGUGAACCGCAUGCGUUGCCUAAUCCAAGGGUAUUAUAUUUGUAAUUUGAUAAUAUUAACAUACAUUACACAUAUAAAAAUAAAUUAAUUAAAAAGUCUAAUUUUUUAAUUUGACCGAGAAAAAGUAUACAUAUUUUUCCAAUUUUUUUUCCUAACAUAUGUGGUAUGAUGAUUAUUAUAUAUCAAUAAUAAAUAAGAAAAAAUAUAUGUAAUAGUUAUUUUUUUAUUUUUUUCUUUCUUUUUCUUUCAACCAAAUAAUCAUGGUGGAAAAUUUUUUUUUUUUAAUAAAAAAGUAAAGAGCGCAAAUUUUUUUUUUAAAAAAAUUUUCAUUAAAAAUUAUCUUUUGCUAUUUGUUUCUAUGUAAAACUGAAAAUUAUUUUUUAUAAAAAAAAGUUUUUAUAGAAAAAAGUUUUACGCCUUUAAAUGUUUCGUUUGUAGGAAAAAAAAAAAGGUUUUUCGCUGAUACUUAUUUGGUUGAAAGGAAAAGAUGAAGUAAAAACUAUUUAUAUUAUUUUCUUCUAUUGUAUACCUAUAUUUUUAUGUUAUCAUAUAUAAUAACAGUAGUAAUACUAUAUAUUAAUAUCAUUAAUUUAUAUUUGGAAAUUAGCUUGCAAAAUGAUAAUAUACAUUAUAUACAUAUUAUUUUAUAUACUACACACAUUAUUAUUAAAAUAAUGUUGGUGGAGAUUCAUGAAAAAAAAAUUUAUUUGUGCACCUCGUGCACCCAUGAACCCACGCACCCUGGUUCAAAAAGCUGCCAAUUUAUUUCAUACUUUUAAUUUAGGUAUCUAAAUUUUAAUUUUUUUUUUUAAAAAAGUGCUAUAUACAAAAUGGUAUAGACUAAGAUAUUAAAAAAAAAAAAUGGUCAAUGAAAAUAUGGUGUACACAUAUGAAUACACCUAGCCCAUGCAAUAAUCUCUAUUAUUUGUACGUGCACUCGGUCCACACAUUUUGGUUUCUUAGUGGGUGGACCGCGUUACUUUUUUCGGCGUGCAAAUAUAUAUGCACCGCUUUUUUUUUUUUUUUUUUUUUUUUUUUUUUUUUUUUUUUUUUUUUUUUUGGUAUGAAUCAAUGUAUGUAGGGAAUUUUUAGCUUUUGUGUUCACUCUUUUUCUUUUUCUUAAAUCUGUAAAAAUAUUUUACUAAAAUUUUACGGCAAAAUAAAUAGACAAAAAGUAUUUUUCAAAUAAUCAGAAAUUAAUUAAUUUUCGGUAGUUGUUACUGGAUUGAACCUUAUGUAUUAAUUGUGGUGCACAUGAAAUUGAAGUUUGAAUAGUAUUCAUAGUAAAUUGGCCUUUAGAGAUCAUCUCUCCUGCAAACUGGUAUUCCGAUAGUAAGAAAUUAGAAUUAAUUCACAGACCCGUCGCAUACAUUCCAGUCCAACUCUUCUACGUCUCGCUCUCCCAUAUAAUAUAUAAUAUAUAUAUAUAUAUGAUAUAUAUACAUAUGAUAUAUAUACUUAUAUAUAUAUAUAUAAUUAUCAUUAUAUAUAUAUAUAUAGGAAUUAAUCCCUACGUAUUACUAUUCAAUAGUAUCAAGCCGGUUGGUACUCAUUUGCGUUCCGGCGCCCGUUGGGGCAUGAAAGGGAUGUGCGGUUAGGAUGGGAGUAGUGGUUCCGCGGGAGGAUAAAUUUGCUCUAGUGUUCUCUAGGGUUGAGUGUGGUGGGUGGCUUUUGUUAAGUAAUGUGAAUCUAACGGAUGAAAUGAUCAGCAAGGGUUCCUUCAGAUUCUACUUACGCCGUGUCGGAAGAACGGGUCUUGGAAAUUGAGGUUCUUACAAGAAGCUUUGGGGAUUACUAUCGAUAGCGUCGGCAGGCUAGUAUAAGUUAAGACCCGGCACUAUAUAUAAUAUAUGAUAUAUAGUAUUUUAGAGAGAGGGGCAGGGCCCACCCCGUCGGUGGGAGAGAGAGAGAGAGAGAGUUGAGCUAGAAUACUAUCGAUAGCAAACGGGCUCCGUUGCCACCUAUUUGUUUUCGAUGAUGGAGCCUCCAAAUCGACGAUCGGUACCGUUAAACAUGAUCUAUACCACUUGAAGUAUUUAGAAAUCAAAUUUUAUACAUUUUCGAUAUUGUUUUCUUAUUCAUCGAGUGGACACAAAAAUAAACGGCUAAAAAUGAAUAUUCUUUGAAAAAUGAUGAUAGGAGUCUUAUAAUCAAGAUCAAGAGUAUAGAUCUUGUUUUAAAUAGUUUAAAGAAUUUUCUAACAAAAAUUCAACUGAUGAUUUGGAUAUCUUUACGUUGUUAAACGAGAAAAACCUCAUAUCGACCUUUAAAAUUACAAAUUUUGAAACCUUUUAAUCGUUAGGCAAAUGAUGUCGAAAAGAUUUGAAAUUUGAUUUCUAAACACUUCAAGUGGUAUAGAUCAUGUUCAACAGUGCCGAUCGUCGAUUUGGAGGCUCUAUCAUCAAAAACAAAUGGGUGGCAACGGAGCCCGUUUGUUAUCGAUAGUAUUCUAGUUCAACUCUCUCUCUCUCUCUCUCUCUCUCUCUCUCUCUCUCUCUCUCUAUAUAUAUAUAUAUAUAUAUAUAUAUAUAUAGUAUAGAGCUAUUAUACUUUUAAAAAUAUAAGAGAGUUGAUAAUUACAACUUUUUAAUCUUUGGAUUAAAAAUUGUAGUGUUGAAAUGAUAGUUUUUUUCCCUUAAAAUUGAGUGGUCCCUGUAGGAUUGAGUGCUCCCUAGAGUAAUAAUAUUAAUCCAAAAAUAAUCAAAAGGAUUGAUACAAUGACCAAAAAGUUGAAACUUAUAGAGUAUUUGAAACUUUUAGAAAAUAAAUGUAAGAACUGAGGCUUUUGCAGUGUAGUUAAACUCUCAGUUGACGAUGUUUUUGUGUGUAAUUUAAUUACAAAAGCACUCGUCAAGUUUAGGGCGAAAACGAGUUAAAACGGAAAUUCUACGCGAUUUCCAAGUUUCACUUAAAGUGAAUAGUAACUCGAUUUUCCGGAGAAGCCGCGGUGAGAAGUUGGCUUCUGGCUCGUACCGGACUCUGUUCAUAGCAUUCCAAUAGCUCGUUUCGAUCGGUUCAGCUGUUCUGGAACCAAUGACGCUGAUGGAUUUUGAGUUUGACGCACGGAUUUCGAGAAAAUCCAAAAAUACAUGUUUCAUAUGUAUUUAUGUGUGUGUUUCCUUCUAUUCGAAGAAGGUUGGAUUUUGUCGUGAAUCCGUGGUCGAUCAAGAUGAAACGAAAUCGCAGCUUUAUUGUCUCCGUCGUUCUGAUCGUACUGGUGUGAACCGUUUGCAAAUCUGACAGACGGAUCUGCGGAGAUCGCGCGUUGAUCGAGGAGAGGUUGGUAGUGGCAAAACAGUAUUUUCGCAAAAGUCGCGAUAUUUUAUAUACCGUUUCGCGUGAGAUCGCAAGUAGAGGUGUUUUAGCGCGUUUUACAUGUGCUGUGAGGGACUCGGAUUGUAAUUCUGAUAUUUGGGGGACCUUUUUGCUUGUUGCACCUUACUUAUAUAGGCUUUUUAGGGUUUUUACCUAGCUAACGUAACCCUAGCCUUGCCCUAGCCCCCUAGCCGCCUCCUACCUCUUCCCUGCACUUGCUGCACGUGCCCUGGCCGCCGCCGAUCGAGCCCCGGCCGGCCAACCAUGCGGCAGCCACCACUCUCCAUCUUCUUCCCUCUCUUUCUCUCUUCCUCUCUCCUCUCGGGUUGUGUGGAGGCCCGAGACUGCCGCCACCUUCGGACCCUCCGCCAGUGUCGCCCCGUGCUCUGGCGAGCAUCCCCGCCGACCGCCGCCGUCGCCUAGCGCCGCCGCUGCCGCCCUGGCUGGUUUGCCGCCUAGGACAAGGCUCGGCCGAGCCGAGUUCCAGUAGCUUCCCUCGAGCCGCCACCGCCUGAGGUCGCUCCCGCGGCCUUCUACCGUGUCCCACCGACCUUCCCGGCCGGUCGCCGCCGCCCUUCGGAUCGCCGCGGCCGCNNNNNNNNNNNNNNNNNNNNNNNNNNNNNNNNNNNNNNNNNNNNNNNNNNNNNNNNNNNNNNNNNNNNNNNNNNNNNNNNNNNNNNNNNNNNNNNNNNNNNNNNNNNNNNNNNNNNNNNNNNNNNNNNNNNNNNNNNNNNNNNNNNNNNNNNNNNNNNNNNNNNNNNNNNNNNNNNNNNNNNNNNNNNNNNNNNNNNNNNNNNNNNNNNNNNNNNNNNNNNNNNNNNNNNNNNNNNNNNNNNNNNNNNNNNNNNNNNNNNNNNNNNNNNNNNNNNNNNNNNNNNNNNNNNNNNNNNNNNNNNNNNNNNNNNNNNNNNNNNNNNNNNNNNNNNNNNNNNNNNNNNNNNNNNNNNNNNNNNNNNNNNNNNNNNNNNNNNNNNNNNNNNNNNNNNNNNNNNNNNNNNNNNNNNNNNNNNNNNNNNNNNNNNNNNNNNNNNNNNNNNNNNNNNNNNNNNNNNNNNNNNNNNNNNNNNNNNNNNNNNNNNNNNNNNNNNNNNNNNNNNNNNNNNNNNNNNNNNNNNNNNNNNNNNNNNNNNNNNNNNNNNNNNNNNNNNNNNNNNNNNNNNNNNNNNNNNNNNNNNNNNNNNNNNNNNNNNNNNNNNNNNNNNNNNNNNNNNNNNNNNNNNNNNNNNNNNNNNNNNNNNNNNNNNNNNNNNNNNNNNNNNNNNNNNNNNNNNNNNNNNNNNNNNNNNNNNNNNNNNNNNNNNNNNNNNNNNNNNNNNNNNNNNNNNNNNNNNNNNNNNNNNNNNNNNNNNNNNNNNNNNNNNNNNNNNNNNNNNNNNNNNNNNNNNNNNNNNNNNNNNNNNNNNNNNNNNNNNNNNNNNNNNNNNNNNNNNNNNNNNNNNNNNNNNNNNNNNNNNNNNNNNNNNNNNNNNNNNNNNNNNNNNNNNNNNNNNNNNNNNNNNNNNNNNNNNNNNNNNNNNNNNNNNNNNNNNNNNNNNNNNNNNNNNNNNNNNNNNNNNNNNNNNNNNNNNNNNNNNNNNNNNNNNNNNNNNNNNNNNNNNNNNNNNNNNNNNNNNNNNNNNNNNNNNNNNNNNNNNNNNNNNNNNNNNNNNNNNNNNNNNNNNNNNNNNNNNNNNNNNNNNNNNNNNNNNNNNNNNNNNNNNNNNNNNNNNNNNNNNNNNNNNNNNNNNNNNNNNNNNNNNNNNNNNNNNNNNNNNNNNNNNNNNNNNNNNNNNNNNNNNNNNNNNNNNNNNNNNNNNNNNNNNNNNNNNNNNNNNNNNNNNNNNNNNNNNNNNNNNNNNNNNNNNNNNNNNNNNNNNNNNNNNNNNNNNNNNNNNNNNNNNNNNNNNNNNNNNNNNNNNNNNNNNNNNNNNNNNNNNNNNNNNNNNNNNNNNNNNNNNNNNNNNNNNNNNNNNNNNNNNNNNNNNNNNNNNNNNNNNNNNNNNNNNNNNNNNNNNNNNNNNNNNNNNNNNNNNNNNNNNNNNNNNNNNNNNNNNNNNNNNNNNNNNNNNNNNNNNNNNNNNNNNNNNNNNNNNNNNNNNNNNNNNNNNNNNNNNNNNNNNNNNNNNNNNNNNNNNNNNNNNNNNNNNNNNNNNNNNNNNNNNNNNNNNNNNNNNNNNNNNNNNNNNNNNNNNNNNNNNNNNNNNNNNNNNNNNNNNNNNNNNNNNNNNNNNNNNNNNNNNNNNNNNNNNNNNNNNNNNNNNNNNNNNNNNNNNNNNNNNNNNNNNNNNNNNNNNNNNNNNNNNNNNNNNNNNNNNNNNNNNNNNNNNNNNNNNNNNNNNNNNNNNNNNNNNNNNNNNNNNNNNNNNNNNNNNNNNNNNNNNNNNNNNNNNNNNNNNNNNNNNNNNNNNNNNNNNNNNNNNNNNNNNNNNNNNNNNNNNNNNNNNNNNNNNNNNNNNNNNNNNNNNNNNNNNNNNNNNNNNNNNNNNNNNNNNNNNNNNNNNNNNNNNNNNNNNNNNNNNNNNNNNNNNNNNNNNNNNNNNNNNNNNNNNNNNNNNNNNNNNNNNNNNNNNNNNNNNNNNNNNNNNNNNNNNNNNNNNNNNNNNNNNNNNNNNNNNNNNNNNNNNNNNNNNNNNNNNNNNNNNNNNNNNNNNNNNNNNNNNNNNNNNNNNNNNNNNNNNNNNNNNNNNNNNNNNNNNNNNNNNNNNNNNNNNNNNNNNNNNNNNNNNNNNNNNNNNNNNNNNNNNNNNNNNNNNNNNNNNNNNNNNNNNNNNNNNNNNNNNNNNNNNNNNNNNNNNNNNNNNNNNNNNNNNNNNNNNNNNNNNNNNNNNNNNNNNNNNNNNNNNNNNNNNNNNNNNNNNNNNNNNNNNNNNNNNNNNAAAAAAAAAAAAAAAAAAAGGCACGCUUUCCGCAACUCUGUUUUCAAAAGGCUUUUAAAAUCGGCCCCGGGGCGUGACAAUAAAUUUCGUAAUUUUUCGAAAUCAUAAGAAAGUUCAUCAAACGGGUAUAAAAUGAACGGCCAAAAUCGAACGACGUCUUAAAAAUGGAUGAUCGGAUCCUUCAAUUUAAGAUCGAAGUUAUUGAUCUUUAUAUAUGUAGUGAAUAGAAUUUUCUAUUAAAAAUUCAACUGAUUUCGAUUUUUUUACACCGUUAAACUCACAAAUAUUUCAUACCGGCCGUUAAAAUUUGUCAAUUUUGUAACAUUUUGAUCAUAAGGUAAAUGAUGUCGAAAAAUUAUAAAAUUUUAUUUUUAGACGUUUUAAAUGCUCUAGAUAACGUUUAACGGUGCGGAUCGUCGAUUUGAAAGCUCUAUCAUCGAAAACAACUUAUACGUACGAGGGCGAUCGUACUUAUAUGAGCAUAGUAGCUGGACUCUCUCUCUCUCUCUUCUUCUUCUUGUUUUUUUUUUAUUUUUUUUCUUUUUUUUUGUUUUUGUUUUUUUUGUUUGUUUGACCUUUUGUAUAUUUUUUUUUUUUUUUCUUCGCUUUUUUUUUCUUUUUUUUUUUGUUCUUCUCUCUUUUGUCCUCCUUCUCUGCGACGUCUACUUAGUUUUUUUUUUUUAUUUCGUGUUUUUUCUUUUUUUUUUUUUUUUCAUUUUUCUUUUUUUUUUUUCUUUCUUCUUUUUUUUGCUUUUACUUCUCCUCUUUUCCUCUUUUCUUAGUCUCUUUUCUCUCUUCUAUAUAUAUUAUAAUUAUAUAUUUAUUAUUACAUCUAUUAUGCUGUAAGAGAUAUGUAGAGAGAAAGUUAUUUAGAGAGAGUAGAGAUUGAGAGAGGAGAGAUAUGAGAGUUGGAUGUUGGUUAUUAUUUUUAUUAGAUAGUAAAAUUCAUUGUUGGUGACCGUAGUUUUUUUAGCUUUUGAUCAACUUCUUUUAUUAUUGUCUAUACUUCAUUGUGUAUUAAAUUAUCUAUUUCGCCUUAUGUAGGAUCGACUCAACACUUUAAUGUCUUUAUCUUCAGUUAUGAACCUUUUUGAUGUUUUUUUUUUUUUUUUGUUUUUUGUUUUUUUUUUUUUUUUUUUUUUUUUUCUUUUUCUAUUUUUUUUUUUUCUUUUAUUUUUAUUUUUUUUUCUUUUUUUUUUUUUUUUUUGGUUUUUUUUCUUGUUUUUUUUUGAUUGUUUCUUUUUUUUUUCUUUUUUUUUUUUGUUUUUUUUUUUUGUUUUUUUUUUUUGUUUUUUUGUCAUGGAGGGACAGUUUAAGUCGGCCAAGGGGUUAACGGUUUGAUAGGGACGCAGCAAAAUAUGCGUAUGUUUUGACUUAUUAAUGUAUCGCAUGCGAUAUAUUCAUAUUAUAAUACAUAUAUAUAUUGUGUAGGCUGACUAUCUCUUAAUAUAUAAAGAGCCUUUCUGCUAUCCAUCUCAAGCAUUGUUUUCAAUUUUAGUGAGCUUUUCGGACCAAUCGACCAGCGCGAUCCACCACCAUUAUAAUGAUUUAGUAGUAUUUGAAACGUUCAAAAAAAAAAUUUCAUAAUUUUUGAAAAGAUUCGAAUUAUGAUAAUCGAACCGCCGGCGCCGCCCCCCCCGAUGCAACGGGCAGUCGCGGCAGACCGCGGAGACACCCCAAACAGGAUAAGGAAACGCUCCAUCGCAAUAAUGAAACACUCGCCGGCCCUCAACAGCCCGGGCAGAGAGCUAGGGGACAGAGCGCCGGGGGCCGGACAUGCAACCCGCCCAGCGGAGAGGGGGACUAGAGGACCACCCCGCCCGUCGAACCGAUCAUUCUAAAAGUGGACUAUAUGGAAGCUUCUCUCAACCUUAAGAUCGGCAGUUAUUGAUUUAUUUAGGGGUAGUGCAUAUAUUUUCUAUUCAAAAUUUCAACUGAGAAUCCGAUUCUUUUAGGGCUGAAAGCCAGAGGACCGGGCAGGUUUUGAGGCCAUGACCGAGGCAGACGGUACCGUUAGGCAGCAAUCGAUUCACAUACGCCGUAAAGAUUCAUUUUGAUUAAGCUUUUUGAAUCGUACAGGUAAAUUGAUAUUAGGAAAAUAUAAAUUUAAUUUCAUAACCAUUUAAAUACUCUAUCAUACAUUUAACGUCAUGCGAUCGUUCUUGUGUCGAAAAAGCUCUAGUCAUUCAAAAAUAACUUAGAUAGAAAGGAUCGGAUCCAUAAGAGUAUAUAGGCAUGAAUAGUAUAGGGUAAGUAAUAAUAUAUUAUUAUAUAAUAUAUAUAUAUAAUAUUUAAGUAAUAAGGUCAUAGUAUAAGUUAUAUAUAUACGGGUAUUUAAAACGAAGAUUACUCUUCGGGACUGUAAGGAUUCAAGAUCCUAUCCGAUCAGUUUUUUUAAGCAAAUAUUAUUUUCAACCGUAUUUACUUUCGUUGUUCCACCAUCGCGAUGACCAAGAGGAAAAGUAUCUGAAAAUGUAAUAGCGAACUUUGAAUUUCUAAAUACUUCAAAUAGUAUAGAUAUGUUAUACGUGCUGCUCGUCGUUUGGAGGUCCAACUAUUAGACAAGAGACGGAAAACUAAUGGUUACAAAAAUAUCGUGUGGCUAAUCGAUAGUCAUUCUACGCUCAAACUCUCUCACGAGUCCGAUCCAUCUCCUCUGAGCCCGGGCAGCUAGGCUAGUUGGCCCGGAUGUUUCAAGGUCUGUCUUUCUAUAUAUAUAUAUAUAUAUAGUGCAAUCAGUGGGUGAAUGAUAUAUUCAUGGCUCCUCUUUUAGUCAUGUUAUUUAUAAAUGAGUAUUGCUAUCAGUUUUUAAAAUAUUAUUUGUAUAUGUUAUUAAUGCGCUAGUAUUUUGAUUUCUUUUGAUUUGUUAUUGUGCUUAAUUAGUAAAAUUAGCUCUUCUCCUCAAUAUAUGGUGAUAUUAUAUGCGAGUAGUAAGUUUAGAUCGUACGGUAUUUAAACAAUAAACAUUGAUUGAAAGUAAUUAACUAGACUUUUCGCACGCAUGUGAUUUACGUACCAAAAAAGUAUAAUUAGUCUCAUAACGUUCUAACUUAUGUAUCAUGCAUGUGACGAGUUUUAUAAGCUUAAGUUUUCUAGAUUCAUUCUAGUCCUUUAAUUAAAAUGAUAUCUUAUUAAGAUUAGUUCACACAUUUCUCGUGGCUCAAUUUUUUUAAGGUUCAAUUAUAUUUCAGACACUUUUACUUGAUUCACGACUGAUUUAAUUUGUCCUUUUAAAUUCAGUCAUUCGAUUCUUCUUUUCUAACUUAAUAAAUUGAAUUUUUUUUUAAAUAAGUUUUGUUUAGUGCUUAAUUAGUCCAACAGUACUAGAUUUUGUGCUAUAUAUAUACACACUAUUAGGACUUAGGAGCUGCCAAAAAAACGUGCGAAAAAUAUUAAUUUUAUAAUAGUAAUUAUAAAUUAAAAUUCUGACUUAUAUAUAAUUUGAGAAAUUCAAUUACUUAUUUUUCAGCUUAAGUAUUGAAUUGAUUCGAGCAUUUAAUUAACAAUGUUAAUAUUACCGUCUUUUGUGAUAAUAUUGUGGGGUAUCUUAAUUAAUCGUUUUAUUUUUUUUUAAAUUGAGCAAUAAUGCUCUAUAAUAUAUAUACAUCGAUCUAGAUCUAAGAUGUAAAAUAUUUCAUUUAAGCCAAACAAAGGUUACUAUUUAUUCAGUAGUCUUAUCACUACAACAGAAUUAGGUUAUAGGGACACAUAUUUGGGACACUUUUUAGUAAGUGUCCCAUUUAUACUAAAACUUAAAAAAAUAUCUACUAAUGUCUAAAUAUAAAACCCAAUCCAACCAAAAAUAAAAGAUUAUUCUACUCAAUCCACCACACCCAGUCCAUUUGGCCCGAUUAUAAACAGAAAAGAAAAAAAAAAAGAAAAAUCAAUUACCAUCUUUUCUUUUCUCUUCACUCAAUCUACUGAAAUUCUAGACGAAGAGUCUUUUCUGUCGUCCUCCUCCGCCACCGCAGCCAACGAUAUAGAGUUUCGGCGGUUGCUAAAUGUUUAAAUAAGUAUUGGUAAAUGAACAACACUCUUUUAGGUUAUAGCUACACUCUUUAACUGUCACUAUAUACCUAGCGACCCCACAUAUAGCAACACUUUUCAAAAGUGUCGGUAAUUUUAGCUAGCAGCACUUUUUUGACAUGUACCUACAUUUAAAAGUGUCGUUAUAGACCGUUUUUGUUGUAGUGUAUCAAUCUCUUUUGUUUUAAUACUGUUGAAAAUAAUAAUCCAAACUUAAUUAAAAUAUAGUUAUAGAUAAGUUUAAAUUUUUUAUUUGAUUAUGAUUAGGAUAUGUAAUUAUUUAAAGUAAAAUUAGAUUUAUCAUCUGUUAUGAUUUGAUGGCUACAUAUAGUUAAUCAUGGGUUAAUUAGAUGAAAAAGCCACAGUAGAUAUGGCUGCAUAGGUGCUGUCCAGGAUGUAAUUAAAUUGCUUAUUAUUUUAGUUAUCUUCUUCCUCCUUCAAUAUCUCUUCUCCAUAUUAUUUUGUUAUAUUUUAGAUCUUGAGUUAUAUAAUCGGUAUCAGUACAAAUACCAGUUCCAAUAAUUAGUAUCAGAGAAAAUCACGCUUUCAACAAUUAGCAUCAGAGCCAGAAAGUAUCAUGCGACUUAUAAACCAUAUAUAGCAUAUUCUAAAAAAAUAUAAAUCCAAUGUACCGAAUAGCUACAUCAAAGUCAAGCGACUCAUAGCAGAUUGACGAAGGUGAUGUUCAGGUACGAAACCGAAGGAAUCGGUUUGAAGAAAUUGGCCUCCGCACAAUACACGACAGCAGAUGAUUGUGACGCUUGACGAAAAAAGAGCGAGGAGAGCCCAUGAAGAGAUCCAAGAAGACUUGACCAGAUAGCCGGGAGGACUAGGCAAGCAAGCUGAAAUACAAAAAAUUUGGUGAAAUCUCGAUGAACUAAGAACGUCAUCCAAACCGAAAGGUACAAAUCUGAAACUUAUUUUUCAGAUUUUCAAGUUUUGUUAUAGAUUUAGAUAAUUGGUUUAUUCAAUCAGACUUACCAAAGUUCGAUGUAAUGAACUUUAAAUGAUGGAAAAUCAUCAUUCGAUAUUUUUAAAAAUCCCAAGAUUUGUGUAAUGUGAUGAAGAAUUGUAAUUAUAAAAAAAAAAAUUGGUAAAAAAGAAUUUAAAAAAAGAGAUAGAGAAGUUCUAUAAUAUAUUUUUCAAGCAGUAGAUCUAUCGUUGAUUGGAAAAAUUUCAACUAUAAAGACGGCGUGAGAAGCGCGGAAAAUGCUAUCGAAAAUUGGAGGAGAAUAUUUACAGAAAGAGAAUGAAAUUCAAGAAGAAAAAAAAAUUCAACUCAACAAUGAAAAUACUGAAGCCCAAAUUUGCAAAGAAAUUUGGAAAGAAAAAUCUCAUCAAAAUUAUGAAGAAAAUCAAAUUCGUGAAGAGUAUGUCGAUGAUCAAAACAGUGCAACUCAGAUCGAUUAGAAAAUUCACAAUGACGAUAUGAUUAAAGAAUUUUCUGUCGAUAAAAUAAUUACGCAUUAAGUCAAAGAGGAAAUUGACUCUUUAUAUAAUGUGAAUGAAGAAAAGAAAAUAGUAGACAAAAGUACAGAAUUAAAAAUACAAAAUUUUGGUACGAUGCAAAACACACAUUGAAAUUAGCGAACCCAAAAUAUCAAAUUCAGAUAUUGGUAGAAACCCGCGAAUCUUUAGGGAUAAUAUGGAUAAUCACAACUACAGGUGGCAAAAAUUUCAUGCAUGGCAACAUCAUUGGAUAGGCGUCAUGUUACACAACUCAAACACGACGACAACGACAGCGACGGAGAUUGCAAAAUCAAAAUGCGCGUUUCACGGAGUUCGCACCUUGAAAAUAAAGUUUUGAUUAAGGGAGAAUGUUGGAAGUAAUAAUCCAAACUUAACUAAAAUAUAGUUACGGAUAAGUUUAAAUCUUUUAUUUGAUUAUGAUUAGGAUACGUAAUUAUCCAAAAUAAAAUUAGAUUUAUCAUCUGUCAUGAUUUGAUGGCUAUAUAUAGUUAGGCAUGGAUUAAUUAGAUGAAGAAGCCACAGUAGACAUGGCUGUAUAGGUGUUGCCCAGAAUGUAAUUAAUUACUUAUUAUUUUAGUUAUCUUCUUCUUCCUCCAAUAUCUCUUUUCCAUAUUAUUUUGUUAUAUUUUUUAUUUUUUGUUAUAUAAUCGGUAUCAGUACAAAUACCAGUUCCAAUAAUUAGUAUCAGAGAAAAUCACACUUCCAAUAAAUGCUAAGAAUUAAAAUAAACACUUAUAUGGCUGGGUGAAGUGUAAGACGUACAUCCUACAUAUCAUGUAUAUAAUUUUUUUUUUUUAAGAGCAAUUAUAUAUAUGUACACUAUCUUACACUCUAGAAGCUCAAAAGACCAUAUUUACCUAAUUAUCUUAUCAAUCUUUUUUAAUAUUAGAAAUUUAAAAAUGACUUUUAAAUUUUUAGAUAAUAAGAUGCAAGAUGCAUAAUCUACAAUAAAUUAUACAGUAAAUUGCACUUUUGAUCUCAAACUAUGUCAAGUGACACUUUAGUCCUCAUUAAGCUUUAAUUUGUUGUAAUUUCUAGCUCAAAUUUUUAAAAUUAUUGUAAUCAAGUCCCACAAUCUUGGCUAAAUAUUGACGAAGUAUUAAUAUAGAAGUGAUGCAGAAAUAUUGUGAUUGAUGAUGCGAUAACAAUUAAGAUAUUAUAUCAAUUUUAAAUCAAUAAUGUGUUAACAUUCAGUGAACUAAAAUAGGUUGUGAAACUAGAUUAUAUUAAUUAUAAAAGUUAGAGCCACGGACCGUUCCUAGAGCAAGUGGCAAAGAGCUUGGUGUUUGGUAGCCGAGACCCAAGUUCGAAUCCUUGUUGAUUCACAUUUCCAGCUAAGUUUAUUUCUAAAUGAAAUAAACGAAGCGGGUAGCGUGCUACCUAUCCCUCAAAAAAAAAGUUGGAGCCAAAAAAUAUAAUAAAUUAUAGUUUAAGAACCAAAGUAUCAGCCACCUCAUAUUUGAGAUCCAAACGUGCAAUUCAUCCUAAAUUAUAAUAUAUAUAUCAAAAAUUUAAGUACCGUAAUAUAAAAUUAUGUCAAAAAUUUAUCGACACACUACGGUAUGAUGCGUGCAAAACCUGCUGAUACGAGUUAGUCAUAAAAUUUACACGGCACAUAUCAAAACCCACUUCAAUCCUUGAGACAUAUAGUUACUUUUGUUUUUGCUUUUUUUUGGGAAAAAAAAUAUUGCCGAAUCUACGGGGGCGAUCACGCAACAGUCAACUAAGGUGGCUGUGCGCGUACUGUGCUGGAAUAAAUUAAAGAGUGGUAUAUACGGCUUCCGCCUCGGUUUGCGAGCCCAAGUUUUCGGAUCCCGACAGAAGACCGCCCGCCACGUGUUUGCUGUGAAAAGUGCUGACAGCGGAGACCUGGGUCGGGUUGUCGACCGCCCUCCUCUUCGUCUCCACCUCCUAUCCUGCCUUCUUCCUCCCACCCUCUGAUACUCUAGGCUACCGUUUGAAUCGGGGUUAAAAAAAUACUAGUUAUUUCAGAAAUAAGCUUAAUUUUAGAGUUAAAUUAGGAUUAGAGUAUUUUUGUAUUUGAUUAGGGAUUGAAAUUAAUUCAGAAUAGUAAAAAAUAGUAUUUGAUUAGAGUAUGUGAGAUCAGAAGAAUAGUGGGUUAUUAUGAAUAGAAAAUAGUGUUUAGUUUGGAUUUGGUAGGGUUAGAUAGAGUUAGCUAAUUCGGGAUAACUCAUUUGAGGUGGGGUUAGCUGGGAUUAGCUAACCCCACCUAUUUUUAAAAGUGUUUCGGGAUAAAAUGGAGGUUAAGAGGUUAUUCUACCCUUAACCCCCAACCAAUUUCAUCCACUAUUUAUUUUUUAUAAAAUUUAGAGCCCUGCUAUCUGUUUGUUUCAAAAUUAAUAGAAAAUUUAUAAUUUUUUCAUUCAAGAAUUAAAAUUGAGCUUCUGUCGUAUUAAUUUUUUAAUAAAAAAUAAAUUUUUUUUUCCAUCCACAAUACUUAUUUUUCAUAAAAUUUAGAGCACUACUAUUUGUUUGUUUCAAAAUUGGUAUAAAAUUUAUAAUUUUUUCAUUCAAGAAUUAAUGUUGAGCUUCUAUCUUAUCAAUUUUUUAAUAUUAAAAAUUUAAAAUACUUUUAAAACUUUAGAAUUAAAAAGCGUGAAUCUUACACUCUUUUUAGAUACAGAUGUUGCAUUUUUUAAAAGUUUGGUAUAAUUCUUACUCCCAGAUUUACACCAAAAAAGGGUGUACAACUUUUUUUUUUUUUUUCAAAAUUUAAAUCGCUUCUAUCCGUACACUUUAAAGUUAGUGUGAAUCCUACGCACCAAUCAUCGAAUGAUUAAUUUUAUCUCACAAGUCUUACCACACAUUUUUUUAGAUAUGCACCAUUUUUUAGGGUGUACAGUAUUUUUAAAAGCUUUUUGAGAAUUAGAAUAUAAUAUUCCUAAAAAUAAAUUAGACCGUUUAUUUUCUUAUUGUUUCUGUCAAUGAGACAUUCAAAUCGACGAUCAACAAUGUUAAAUAUAAUUUAGAACAUCUGAACUUAUAAAAUGUUAAGUUUUAUAAUUUUUUGAUAAUAUUUAUCUAGUUUUUAAGCGGUUCCAAUAUUGACUAUUUUUAAUAGUUAAUAUUAGAAAAUUUUGGCAUCACUUGAUCACUAGGCAAAUGAUACUAUUAAAUCAUAAAAAUUAAUUUCUAGAAAAUAAUCCAUCUCAUAUUUAAUGAAAUCGAAUGUUCUAUCACCAAAAAUAAUGUAGAAGUAAACAGCUUCGUUUACUUCUUGAAAUAUUCUAGCUAAACUCAAUAUUUGAUGAAAAUGUAUAAUGCUUAUCUGAAUUGUAACCUAUUUCGAUCUAAACAUCUAAUAUUUAAAAAUUUUGGAUUUUACUAUUUAAUCAUUUAAUUUAUUUUUAUUCAAGCUGUUUAAUAACUUCUGAACUUUAAAUUUUGAAUGCACCAUUUUAUUUUCACGAAUCUUUUAUUAGCAUAUUUUAUAUAAUUUUUGCGACUAUAUAAUUUUAUUAAAGUAUGGGCCUAAAAUUUGAACCCGAAGAAACAUGCAUUGAGUACCAAAAUUUGCUAAUCAGACCCUUAAAAGUAAAUGGUGAUCGAAAGCUACUGAAACGUAACCGUGAUCUACAUAAAAAAAACAUAACAUUAUUGGAGGCGAGAUGACCUAUUCUAUCAAAUUAAAUAAAAAUUCGGUUAGUUAAUUCCUAAGUAAAAUAAAAAUAAAAAUACCAAAAACCUCAUAUUGAAAAAAAAAAAUUGCAAAUCAAAAUAUUAAGCAUUAGAGACCCCCCUACGAAGUGAAAAGUCAAAGAGCAAAAAAAAUCUGUAAGUUUCAUAAAUUUGAACUGAUAUUAUAUUUUACUAAAUUCGAAAAGAACGAUCUGACACCAACGUGGACAAUUAUUUUGAAGUCAUGUAUGUAAAUUUUAAGACCGAAAAAAAAAAAAGGAAAAAAAUAAAAAAAGACGAGAGGUAGGUGGUGGCAGUCAGAGGAGUGCAGGGCAAUCUUGGGUGACGUGCUGGGUUGGUUGACUGACUGGGGGAGUCUGUCUGCUCGUGGUUGUCUGCUUGUCGCUGCGAUAUUUCAGACUUAUACCAUAUCAAUAAUAAUAAAUCACUCACAUAUUUUUUUCUUAAAAAAAUAUAAUAAAUUUUUUUUUAUAAUUAUAAUGUGAUUAAUUAAUUUUAAAAAAUUAUUUAAUUGGUUGGAGACACGACGUUACUGAUAUAUCUGCUGCAUUUUAAAAUUUUUCGAUAACAUGAGCGGCCAUGGAGUGCUGUCGGGAAAUAAGGGGAAUAAUAAUACGUGCGAAUUUUAAUUAAUCUGUUUUCAAAUCAGCGCCUGACUGGGGUGACCCAGAAAUGGUUUCUAGAUGGUUUUCUGGAUUGGAGCUGACGUCAUCGUUGCGACAUGAUGCUGUCAACAGAAGUUUGACUUACGCUUUGUUCGUAUUGCCAUGGUAGACAACUAUCAACAACUAUCAAGUUCAAAAAAAAAAAAAAAUUUACCAACCGUCCCUAGAGUAAGUAGCAAAGAAUUUGAUGAUUGGUAUUCGAGACUCAAGUUUGAUUCUAAUUGAUUCACAUUUCCAGCUAUAUUUAUUUCUAAAAUGGAAUAAACAAAACGGAUAGUGUGCUAUCUAUCUCUCAAAAAAAAAAAAAAAAACUUCUAGAAAAAAGUUUAGAGCUGAUGUGCCGUCCCCAACUAAUCAGAUUCAUCUCCUCAAAUUCAACUUAUUCUAUCAUACAAAGGGUAAACUUCGAAUACCCCUAUUGUGGUUUUACAUUUUUUCACUUUAAUAUCUUGUGGUUUAAAGUAUAUUAAGUUAGCUUCUAUAGUUUCGCAUUUUUUCACCUUAAUACCUUGUGGUUUAAAAUAUAUCAAGUUAGUACCAUGUGGUUUUAUUUAUUUUUUUAUUAUCCACUUCACUAUUUUUCUUGUUAAAUCAGUGACAAAAUUAAAACUAAAUGGUACUAAAGUGAAUAUUCGAUAAACCUAGGUAGGAUAUCUGAAGUUUUUUGUAUAUAAUUUAACCAAAUAUUAAUGGGAAAAAAAUUAAUCAAAAACAAAGUAAAAACUAAAGGAUACUAAAGUAAAUAUUCGAUAAACCUAGAUAGGGUAUCUGAAGUUUUUUAUAUAUACGUUAACGAAAUAUUAAUAGGGGAGCCAAUGAAAAGAAAAAAAAUGAAACCACAGGGUACUAAAUUGAUGCACUUUAAACCACAUGGUACUAAAAUAAGAAAGUGUGAAACCACAUGUUACUAAAUUAGUGCAUUUUAAAUCAUAGAGUAUUAAUGUGAAAAAGUACGAAACCACGAGGGUGGUAUUGGAAGUUUUUCCAAAAAAAAAAUAUUCUACUUUGCUCUUAAAAAAAAAAAGUGAUUGGCUGGAAAUAGAUAAUGUGAUAUAAGUAUUACAAUAUAGGCUUUCUCCUACUUCUAUAUGCUUUCACAUUAUUUUUCGGCUUAAUUAAAAAUAAUAAUAAUAAUAACUUUUGUACAUUAGUUGGUAAUUCAAUAUUUUUUGUAUAAAAAAUUUAAAUAAAAUUUAUCCUAUAUUUUAGUCUUGUGUCAAAUAAAUUUAAUAAUUUGAAAAUUUUGUUAAUUUUUGACAAAAAUGUUAACGGUGAUGAUGUAAUAUCCUUAUACCUUUUUCUCUCUCCUUUUUUUUUCUCUCGUUCUUUUUUUCUUUCUCUUUCAAGAGAGCGGCCUCGCCCGCAGACUCCCGCACCUUCCUCGUCUCCGACUCUCCUCCACCGUUUCCAACGACGAUGCCUCUCUCGCCCUUCCCCGUCCUUCUCGUCCUCUACCUCUUCUUCCUUCUCUGCCGCCUUCGAUGACGACGCAUCUUCGCCGGCGCCGACAAUAUGCCGGCGCAUCCUAACCCUCGCCUACACACCCGUGCACCUUCCUCGCCUCCGACCCUGCCGAGGCCGCGUCGCGACUCUUUUUUUUUCCUCUUCGACUCUCCUCCACUAUCUCCGACGACAAUGCUUCUCUUACCUUUCUCCGUCCUUCUCGUCCUCUCCCUCUCCCUCCUCCUCUGCCGCCUCUGACGACGAUGCAUCUCCGCCGGCGCCGACGCCGACGCCGGCACCGACACCGUGGAGGUCACUGCGGCGCUGCAGCCUCACAGCGGGGGGGUCUAAGCGGCAUCGUCGCCAGCGCCGUGGAGAGGGGUGACAAAAAGAAAUUAUAAAAGAAGCAAGAAAAAAAAUAAAAAUAAAAAAUUAUAGAAAAAGAAGGAUGAAGAUGAAAUUGCAUUGUUAAUUGCAAAAAAAAAUUAUAAGUUGCACUACUUAAGAUGUAAAAUACAGGUUUAAGAUAAAAAUUACACUCUUUAAACGAAAAUUACACUCUUUGGGAGAUAUUUACACAGUUUCUUCUCUUAUUGCACUCUUUCAGAUGUAAACUGCACCCACUAAGAUAAAAAUUACACUCUUUAAACGAAAGUUGUACUGUUUCUCCUCUUGUUGCAUCAUUUCUCCUCUUAUUACACUAUUUUUUAUCUUAAACUGCACUCAUUUAAGAGAUAUUUAUACUGUUUCUCCUCUUGUUGCACUGUUUUUUCCCUUGUUGCACUAUUUCUUCUCUUGUUACACUGUUUCUCCUCUUAAAGGGUGCAGUUUAAGAUAAAAAUAGUGUAACAAGAGGAGAAAUAAUGCAACAAGAGGAGAAACAAUGCAACAAGAGGAGAAACAGUAUAAAUAUCUCUUAAAGGGUGCAGUUUAAGAUAAAAAAUAGUGUAACAAGAGGAAAAAUAAUGCAACAAAAGGAGAAACAGUGCAAUUUUCAUUUAAAAAGUGUAACUUUCAUCUUAAUGGAUGUAGUUUAUAUUUGAAAGAGUGCAAUAAGAGGAGAAACAGUGUAAAUAUCUCCCAAAGAGUAUAAUUUUUGUUUAAAAAGUGUAAAUUUCAUCUUAAAGCUGCAGUUUACAUUUUAAGUAGUGCAACUUAUAAUUUUUUUUUGCAAUUAACAAUGCAAUUUCAUCUUCAUCCUUCUUUUUCUAUAAUUUUUUAUUUUUAUUUUUUUUCUUGCUUCUUUUAUAAUUCUUUUGGUUACCCCUUUCUGCCAACGGCCACGGCGCAGGCGACGAUGCCGCUAAGGACCCCCCGCUCCGAGGCUGCAACGCCGCAGUGACCUCCACGGUGUCGACGCCGGCGCCGAGAUGCAUCGUCGUUGGAGGCGGCAGAGGAAGAAGGAGAGGGAGAGGACGAGAAGGGAGGAGGAGGGCAAGAGAGGCGUCGUAAUCGGAAACAGUGGAGGAGAGUCGAAGAGGAAAAAAAAAAAAAGUCGCGACGUGGCCUCGGCAGGGUCGGAGGCGAGGAAGCUGCAGGGGUGUGCAUGCGAGGGUAAGGAUGCGCCGGCAUAUUAUCGGCGCAGACGAAGAUGCGUCGUCGUCGGAGACAGCAGAGAAGGAAGGAGAGGGAGAGGACGAGAAGGACGGGGAAGGGCGAGAGAGGCAUCGUUGUCAGAAACGGUGGAGGGGAGUCGGAUAGGAAAAAAAAAAGUCACGGUGCGGCAGGGUCGGAGACGAGGAAGGUGUGGGGGUGUGCGGGCGAGGGUAAGGAUGCACCAGACAAGCCGCCUCCUCUGCCUUCGCCGCUCUCUGGAAAGAGAAAGAAAAAAAGAACGAAAAAAAAAAAAGAGGAGAUAGAAAAAGGUAUAAUGAUAUUUUGGUCAGUUUGCUGAAAAAGCGAACCGAAUUUGCAAAAAUGAAAAACGUGGCCCGAUUUUACAAAAGCCCAAAAUAAGUAAAUUUUUUAUGCAAAUUAGCCUAUAUUUUUUUAUAAUUUCUCUUGAAUUCGACAUUAAAGGUGUGCCUGAAGAAGCUUGUAUGCAUUUAAAAAUAUGUUAUCUCAACAUGCAAUUGUUAAAAUUACUCAAAAAAAAAUCCUAAUAGUAGGGCUUAUUUAAAACAUAACUAAAAUGCUGGAUUUGAUAUUGUUUAAAUUUUUUAUGCAAUGGAUAUUUGAGACACGGGGUAAGGUGCAUGAAAUUUUUUGAUAAUCAAGACUUAUUUAUAAUAAUGACAUUUGUAAAUCAAGAAUUGACACCAUUAAACAUUAUUUACAUAUCGUAAACUUUCUAAAAGUAAAAUUUUAUUUUAUUUUUUUUGGAGGAAUGGGUAGCAGGCUACCCGCUUCAUUAAAUGAAAAGGUGAAUUAAGCUACAUGGGUGAGGCAAUAUGGCCUCCGGAGGCGCGAAAAAAAAAAAAAAAAAAAAAAAAAAAAAAAAAAAAAAAAAAAAAGCUGAAGUAAAUAGGGUUUAGUAGCUAGAAACUAAGAAGCAGAGAAGGACAUCUCCCACAGUUUGUACAGCUAUAAUAUCUUAGAGACCGCUAGGAUAGGAUCCGUCUGGGUAUGACGAAAUAUUACCGCGUUCAUGAUUUUCCAAAUGACCCACCAGUCAGCUACUAGAACGUCAAGCUUUGCCUUCGAAGGCAUGCUAGACCUAGCCGCCAGACUAUCCUAGAGCGGGUGAACACCAAGUCCCAAGCCUGCAAUUUGGGUGCCUUCUAGUGUCAUCACUAAGAGAAAUCUAGAGUAGACACAUCAGGAGAAAAGAUGGUCCGCUGUUUCCUCCUCCCCGCCGCAAAGUACGCAGACGGUAUUAGCCGUCCAUCCUCUUCUGACUAAGAUGUCGGCAGUGAGGAUUCUCUUCUUAAGAAGGAGCUAGCAGAAGACUUUCACUUUGAGGGGGACCCUCAGCUUCCAGAGUUUGGGAGCACGAGCAUCUCAUGUGCCCCUAUCACGAAGAGCGAGAUAGGUCAAUUUCACUGAGAAUCGCCCGUAAGGGCUCCAACGCUAGUGCACGCUAUCAGGUCUCGAAGCAAGACUGAAGGCAGAGACUCUCUCCCUGAGAUCUGCUAAGCUUUGUCUACGUCCUAGAUUGCUGAUUGAAUCCUCACUCGGUAUGCAAUUCCAAUCCCAGCCGUCUCUCGUCAGACAAUCACUGAUUCGCAAAUGUUUACAGGUAGCUAAUUCGUAGAUUUCUGGGAAUGACUGGACCAGAGUCUUUUCCCCACACCGGCGAUCAUGCAAGAAGUCUAGUGUAAUUCCUUCGCCCAGCUUGAAAAAGACACCCCAUUUGAAAAUAUCUUUCUGAGCGAGUACACCCCUCCACCAAAAAGAAUAAGGUCUAAAUGAAUUUCUUUCUUUCAGAGGAGUUCUACGGAGAUAGUAUAAUGCAUGGCAUGGAUAAUCUUAUUCCACUGCAAUUGGGGUGCAGUAAGUAGUUUCCACCACCAUUUGGUUAGCAGGGAGCAGUUCAUGGUUUCCAGAUCCAAAAUCCCGAGUCCUCCUUCUUUGCGCCGGCAGACUCUUUUCCAUGCGACAAGACAUCCUUUGCCUAAGUGGUCAGUUCCUCCAAUCCAGAAGAAAUCUCGACACAGGGAUUCGAUGCGGUGGAUCACCCAUUUGGGUGCCUUAAACAAGGUCAGGAGGUAUAUGGGUAGGUUGGAAGGUACUGAGUUCACUAGGAUAAGUCUGCCACCUCUGGAGGGAAGCUUUGCUUGCCAGCCGUCAAUUCUGUUAUGAACUUUUUGGAUGAUCUUCGAUCUUCGGUACAAGGCAGAUGUAGGUGAAAUCGAUUGGGUAGGUGGAUAGAUUCCCCUUCCACAUUUCCAGAAAGAUGUUCAUUAUGUCCUCCUUUACAGUAUCCCAGAAUGCUUGGUAGAAGCUUAACGGAAAUCCGUCCGGACCAGGCGCUUUAUCUUUCCCAAGGUGGAAGACCGCGUUCCUAAUUUCCGCAAGCUGGAAAGGUCUAGUUAGGGUCGAUAGUUUAGCUGCUGAAACACUAUUCUCCUAGAAAAGAUCCUUUCAAUCCCCAACAGACUUAGGGGCUAGCACCUCUGGAGUGAAACGCUCUUUGAAUUUACGGUAGAAGUAAUUCUUCUUAUCUUCUUCUCCGGUAAUGGUUAGUCCCUCAUCCACAAUCGGGCCAAUUUCACUCACUCUUCUUCUUCCGUUCGCUAUAGAAUGGAAGAAUUUGGCAUUAUCAUCUCCCUCUCUCAACCAAUGUUGUUUCGCUCUAGUUCUCCAUAGAGAUUCUUCAUCCUUUAGUACUGUAUUAAGUUUGGUUCUUAACUCCUCUCUCCUUAGGUCCUCGCUGUUAAGGUCAUCCGUUUCUUCAUCUCUAUCAAGCUUGUGCAGUUCGUUCAUGAGUCUAUUCUUUUCACCUCUAAUACUGAAAUACUGAUGUUCAAAUCCUCUCAAGCAUACUUUAUAUAUGCUCCUGAAAUAUAUUAAUUUGAGAUCAUUUGAACAAAUAACUAAAUAAUGUUAAAAAAAAAAUGAAAUUUGGUUUAUAGAAAAUAUAUCAGAUAUUAGAUGAUAAUUAACUGUGUCGAUAGUCGAUUCAUAUGCGCUUCCAUCAAAUAUGUGGUAGAAAACCAAUGGCUUUUUACUUCUAGAAGUAUUCUAGCUUAAUUCCUUUCUUUUAAUUUAUUUUCGGAUUUUUCUUUUAUCAGAUUCAUGUCCAAUUUUAAGCAAUUCUGGUCUUUUAUCUCAUCUAUCAAUUUUUUAUACGCUUUGUGUUUAUCAUACCCGAUUGUUUGAGUAACAUAUCUGAAUUCUUUGAACAGUGCGUUAGUUUGGAGAAUCCCAUAAUAAUUUUUUUAUUGCAGUGGGAGGUUUAAAUUUUUUAUUUGUCAAACUCUCUACUAAAAUAGACCAAAAAAAAUACUCGCCCCAACAAAAUAUGUUGUUGAUGUGUUGGCACGACUACCAUCUCAUUCAUUUGGUGUAGCUGAAUGAACUGAAAUAUCAGGGACUACAUCUGUAAUCAAUUCUUUUUUUCUUUUUUUUUGUAUAGUAUGUGAUUUAAUGAUAUUAAAUAUCCAUUUUUAACAUGGUAGAGAAUGGUGCUUCAAGUGCAACAUGUUAAUUUUAUUUUGAUCUUUUUUAGAUAAACCCAUAUAGAUUUUACAUAACAGAGAUUGUCUCAUCCCAUAAUCUCAUUAGAUUGGACCUCAUAGUUCUACUUAUUCCACACAAGCAUAUGCUACAGCAACAAAGAAAAAGCUAAAAUACUAAACCAAACAAAGCACCUUCUCUGUGCCUCUCAAUGGCUCAACGUUAAUAAGUGAAUAAAAUGAGUGAAUGAUGCAAUUUAUAAAUCUUUUUACAAACACUUCAAAAAAGCAACAACAUGAUAACACAACCAAUGUUAUUGCAUAACCAAUGAACUAAUCCAACAAGUUCAUGAGUUAUACAUUGAAUACUUCACAAAUUAAACAUUGACAUCGGAAAUGAGCAAGUGAUUUCACUCUUCAAAGCAAAUAAAAAAAAACAACAGCAACAACGACAUAGCACAUAAUUGAAUUUGCAUUUUAUAAGAUAGCAAAGUAAGAAAGCAAAAAUUUCGCCAAAGAUUCCAGCUGUCCACAAAACGAUCGCAGAAGAAACAAAUUGUCGCCAAAAUAACUUAACGACAAACAAUCCGCAAAAAGACAGGGCUACACGAAAGGAUGGACAUCCAUCGUCGCCAUUGACGGCUCAGAUAGGAAAUUACACGUUUUAUUGUACAAUGAUCCCGAAACUUUAUCUAGGCUCUAUAAUAUCAUGAUCAGGACAUUAUCAAACAUCUUGGCGGAUUGUUCGAAUGCUUCCAUUAUGGCAACAAUUUACUGCUCCCUCUGUGGAAACAGUUGCCCAAGCAAAUGACCUACAACUAAAUUUAUGUUAGGAGACAGACAUGUAACAUGCAAAUUGAGUGACAAUAUAGAAAUAAAUAAAGACACCAAUCAGAAAAUUUGAGUUAGGGAAAGAGAAAUUAUAGGAAGCUUGACUUGACAAGCAAAAAGCUCUUGUGUUUAUAAUCGUGUUAUAGAGGUAAUACAGGCAAAGAAAAGCACAAACAGAUUCAUUUUUAACCAUAUAUAAAGAAUUACAGAAGAUAACGGAUAUAGAAAGGUCAAGUUAGUGCACUUUCUCAUCCUCUCAUGCAUGUUAAGCUUUGCCUCAGCCCUCAGUGAAAGAUUAUAUUUUAGUAUUCUACUGUUUUGAUAAACAAUCUCACAGGUUCUAAUAGUAGUCAAUACUUAAAAACCGACGUGAAACAUUUUUCUUUUUGUCGAAAGUGCGGCAAUCUCAUUAGAUUUAGAAUGAACAUCCUUACACCUCACAUUUCUAUAUUUCAAGAGAAUGUCUUACAUUUCAAUCCCAGUUGAUGAUAUGCAGUCUUCCGAAAAAUCUAAGUUCAAUAUUUCAUUCUUGAAGACCAAAAGAACAAAUUCCAAUAACAAGUUUCUCCACGUGCAGUCUUCGAAAAACUAGUCGUCCACUGCUAUUGUGAAACAAAAAUCAAACAAAGCUGAUGAAUCUAAAUAAACAGCAUGGCAAAUAAAUAGUGGAAAAGUAAUAAGGUGCCAUUUCCCAGACGCAACUCCUAUAUAUGACUGAUCAGUUACAAAAUGGUGUAUUUUUUGUAAUACAUACACCUAACAGCCUUUUUCAUGUCUAAAGAAGAUGCCAGCCGUGGCAAGCUAACUAACAAAUAACAAGAGUAUAGAUCUGCUGGCAUGCUUUAUCACAUAAAAUUCAAGUUUAGAAAACGAGGCCUAAGUGUGAAAUUUUCAGUCUGUUCAAUGAUAGCACAUUUCAUAGGCUUGAGUACAAGAGAGUAGAGAAGUAGAAUGUACCUUAUUUCAAAACAACUUCCUUGUGAGCUUUAAACGACAGUAUAACAUUCCAAGCAAGAGCUACAAAGUUCGCGGCAAGAACCUGAUACAGAAAUCACAAAAGAUUCAGAAUCAAAGAAGACGAUUUUCAAAGGGAAAGAUACUUCAAAUCUUAUACAAAAUAUGGUUGAUUUUCAAAGCAGUAUAUACUAUUUUUUUCAUUAUUAAGAAAACUAACUGAACAAAGGCAUCCAAUGAAUAGGAAUUGUUGAUUUCGGAAAGUGAACUAACAUAUCUCUCUUCACCUUUUCCUUUCAAACAAACAAGACUAAAUUGCAAAGACAGAGUAUGGUAUUAAACCUGAAAUUUCUGUGGGACGAAGUAGAAGUUCAGAAACUGGAAUGGGAUCCACAACUGCCAAUUUGCUAGCACUGAUGAAAACCACUCCUGCAAAAGAAACAUAUUUUGGCAGAAUUACGAGUAAAGAAAGUUUCUGCUAGAGUGUUGCUUCGGCAAGCAAAUGAGGCAUAAAUCACCUGCUGAAGCUUUGGCACCACAAGGGAAGGCCUUCCCUCUAGCGUGACAAGUAAACUCAUAAAAACUCCAAUGAAGAUAGGGGAGAAGAUGAACUGUUAAAAAAAAUACAGUUCGUUAAUUUUAGGCUCAAACAAAUAAACACAUAGCACAAAAGGCAAGUCAAUUCUGCUUAUUGUGAAACAUAAGCCUACCUGAUCAAGCAAAAGGCGAACAAAUGCACCUGAUGCUCCACUCGCAGUCACCAAUUUACUCAAGUAUAAAUACCUACAAAUAGAAAUUUUCAAAUUGACAAAUUAAACUCAUAAAAUAUAAUCUCUAUAAAUAUGCAAGAAGAAAAUGAGCAGAAGAAAUCAUAGCACGAUGUCUAAUGGAUGGAUUUACAAUUUCAAAAACGAGAAGCACAUUUUCGUCAUUACCAUAUAUGCAAUGUGGGGCCCACCAAGACAAGACCCAACAAAGUGAAGACAAAAGUUCGCUUCAGAUCCAGCUUUGACACCUGAUCAAUUAGAAGCUGCCAAAAUCGGAACAAAGGGUAACAAUGUAAGAUGCUACUUGUAGUAAUUGGCAGUCAAAAACUUAAAAUUAUAUGCAUAAUAUUAUAUAAUAUCACCACAAUUUUAGUCUCAAUCCCUGCCGAAGGGUGGUUUGUCUCAAAAAAGAAAAAAAAAAAUAGAAAAGACAAAGCAAAAACAAUACAGACAGUCCUCAUAAGAUCAAUUUGGCUAAAUAUAAACCAUAGCAACUCUGCUCUAUAUCAUGCUUAUUUCUAUUAUAUAGUUGACCUACAUAGAACAAAAAUAUGUAAUUUACUGAAUUCCACUUUUAUGCUCCUUCUCUUCGCGUAAGUUAAUUAUGGAUAUCUGCAUUUUCAUUUUCUUUUAUCUUUUAUUUUUGUGGUUAAUAAGAAGAGGACUUCUUUAUUAUGAUUCCGUCAAACAAAAAUUAGCAAGUCAAACAGUUUCAAUAUGCCAUUAGAACAAUCUAUGGUUUUACCGGAAUGCUGACCAUAAAUUAACUAGGUAAUUUAGAAGCGCCAAUCUACUAACCAGGAAACAAGUGCCAUUCAGGAUGACACUGUUUCAACCCAGUUUACGAAAAAUUAUAAUCCCUAAAACAACCUUUCAAUACCAAGUAACAGCUAAAUUCUAUCUGCUGUGAAGAGGAGUCAAAUUCUCAUGAAGACAACACAAGGAGAGGAAAAAAAGGGCUGAAAAAUGAGAUGUUUGGGCGCAUUCACCACGAAAAUAUUGUAAGAAAACAAAUUUAUUAAUUAAAAUGCUCCCAAAUAUUCUGGCCCAAAUUACUGAAGUCACACAAAAACCCAAGAACAAAGUCUUAUAAAAAAAUAAUUUGAGAAAAUUACAAAUUGUUUUUCACAAGAUCCAAAUCCAGGAUUGAUUUUCAUUAGUAUGCCAUUGGAGUCUACUCACUACGGCUAUGCAGAAUAAAGGACACUCUCCAAGAUUCAAAUUUAAAUAUGAGUGACAACCUACCUACAGUAUCAUGCAAUAUUCUCAUGGUUAUCUGAUUUAUAGCGCGAGGCGAUGUUUAGAGUAGGUACAUAUUUCAGGUUGUAGUAGUAAUAUCUACAAAUGCCAAGCUGCAUAAGUUGCCACAGCAAAUUUUGUCAGGUAUGAGCUUGAAAGAUGUAUAUACAUAGAGAAUAUAAUCUAAUAAGAAAAAGAGAAAGCAACUACUACAUUUGAAGAAAGAAAAAUAAAUAAGGAUUCUCAUAUUUACCAUGUAGUUCAGAAUUAUUUACCAUGUAAGUAAUACCUGGAAAAAGAACUUUCAGUCUCUAAUAUUAAGGCCAUAAACAUCAAUUACUCAAAAAAGGAACAAGAUUUUACAACCUCCUUGAAUAUGGAGGGCAUGGAAUUAUAUCUAAAUUAAGAAUCUAAAGCAAGAGAAUGGCGAAAGCAUAUCAUAUCCGUCAAACUAUAAUCGUGUUCAACAAGCUCAAGAAAUUUUGAGAGGGCCAGUAUCUACCUGGCAUAUUAAGUCACCAACAAGAGUUAGAAUAGCAGAUGUUAUAGCUUUAGUUGUCACCGGAUACUUAUCCAGAGCCAUCAGAUACCUAAAAUGAUAUACAACGGGUAACUAACAAGCUCUCAUAUUCUCCAGGAAAGUGUUGGUUAGUCCCGAAUUUGCUUAUUAGUUGAUAAGAACCCCAGCAAAAUCUCCAUGAAGAUAGCAGUAAUAUUGUAUUUUAACAUAUCAAAUUCUUUAGUGCAACAGAACAAACAGAUUCCAUCACAUUUGCCAACUCAUGCUUUAUUACCGAGAAUUCUAACAGUCAACAAUGACAAUCACUGAGCAUUACCAUUAUCUAAAACAGUUGGUUCCACAAUUAAGACUUCAUUGCACAACUAAAUGAUCAUCAUCAAUCAGCCAUGUUUCCAUAUAAUACUGCAGGAAAAAUAACCAUAUGGAAGGGGAAAAUGGAUAACAUAUUCCAAAAUUUUAUAAAAUAAGAAACAAGAUUGCACCGAUGUUUAAAACAAUUGACAGCAGAAAGAAAAACAUAUCAAAUGCAAAACUGUCUCAAUUACAUGCUUGUAUUUGCCAAUUGCAUUUAUUUUGAAAUUCAUCACACAAAAUAUUCACUCCUAAAUCCCCAAGAGAGAUAAGUUACCAUCUCUUAGACCUUUUUUGUACUAAUCGAAGAAUAUUAAGUUGAAUUCUCUACAGGAAGAAAUAAAAUUGAAGGGAAUACUUCCAUUAGCACCCCUGUGGUUUGAAAAAUGUUACUUUACUACUCUAUAGUUUUGUUUUUGUUUCAUCGAAAGGACCUAUCGUUAAAUAGGGUAGUAAAAUGUUGUAAUUUACAAAUCACAUGGUCAUAAAACAAAAAUUUUAGGCUAUUAAUAAGCUGUAUUCUACCACCUGUAGUUUAUAAAGUAGCAGUUUAUAAUCUCAUGAUUUGUAAAUUGUAUUAUGUUGCUAUCCUAUUCAACGACAAGUCCGUACGGCAAAAACAAAAACAAAAUCAUAAGGUAACAAAAAUGUUACUUUUCAAAUCAUAGGAUGAUAAAAUAGAAAUGCGCUAAACCACAGAUUUUCCCGAAGUUAAAUUGGGGAUCUAAUUAAAGUCAUAAUUUCAUCAAAUUUAUUGUCUUUAAUCACUUUUUUGCAAACGCAACUGGAAUAAUUACCACCUAAUAGCUAGUAGGGACAUUAAAUUAAAUAAAAUUUUCAACUUUACUAACUUAGAAUAACUUAACUCUAAGAAAUCCAAAUUUCAUGUGUCAAAUUAAAAAUAUUUCUGAGGGGGGUCUCGCCACACAUACAGCAAAAAAAAAUGUAUAAAAAAAUUAUCUCUAAUCAUUGUUGGAACAACUAAACUAUAAUAUCAUAAAAUUUGUCCCCAUAAAAGAGGGGUUUUGACCAAAAAAAAAAAAAAAAAAAGUGGAAAAAUUACCAUGAGAGCACUGAUCGAUCACUCCCAUCUUUCCCAUUUUCACCACCACCACCUCCUCCUCCUCCUCCCUCCUCCUCCACCACCACCGCGGGAGCUCCAUCUCCCGACCCCCAAAACCACCACCAUCGGAAACCGCUCGAAGCUUCGCGAAGCCGAAACCCACUCGCCGAACCCAACACCACAAGAAGGAAUUGGGGAAGCCUCGGGAGGAGCGAGUGGGAACCGCGGAGCGGAGAAGCGCUUCUCCCCCAACAAGAAGCGGUUCUGCGGAGAGAGGAGAUGGCUUUGGGAGAGAAGGGGAUGGUGGAGUCGAAGGCGUUGAAUGCAAUGGCGAUUUGCGGAGCGUUGCCGCCAUUGUCGCGCUGCAGCGGAGCAUCGGAGAGAGGGGAGAGAGGGGGAGUGUCCGAUGAGGGUUUGUAAAUUUAUUACCAACAAGGUGUUGUAAUUGCAGUAGAUUCUCAGUUUAGAAAUUUUUAGGGCCGUUUUAGUUUGUUUUAAAACAACAGUGAGAAAUUUACUUGCUACACCAAAUAUAUAUAUAUAUAUAUAUAUAUAUAUAGAGGAGAGAGAGAGAGAGAGAGAGAGAGAGAGAGUGUGUGUGUAUGUGUGUAGAGUUACUAUGCUAUCGGAAAUAUAGAGGAUUUAUACUUCCGACUUUUUGACCUUAUAUCAAGAAUUCUUAUAAUUAGGAUAAUUGUGGUCUCUCAUAAGGUUGAGUAGUAUCCUAAGAUUGAGUGAUCUGCACAGAGUAAUAAAAUUAAUCCAAAAAUUAGAAAUGAUCAAAGAGUUGAUCUAAGAGCCACAAAAUUGGAACUAUCAAUCCUCUAUGCUUCUGAUAACAUAGCAACUUUAACUACUAUAUAUAUAUAUAUAUAUAUAUAUAUAUAUAUAGUCGGACUAGAAUACUAUUGAUAGCAAAAGGUCAUUUUUUACUAUCAAGUUUUUAGCCUAUAGAUCAAUUCCUUUCAUCACUUCUAACCAUUGUAUUAAAUAUUAUAAUCCAGUGAGGAUCACUCAACCCUAAAUAUUAUUCUAACCUUACAAAUUCUCAUCCAAUAGUUAAAAACUUAAUAACAAAAAAGGUCAUUCGCUAUCAACAGUAUUCCAGCCCAACUCUAUAUAUUUAUAUAUAUAUAUAUAGAGAGAGAGAGAGAGAGAGAGAGAGAGUUGAGCUUCUAUGCUUUUAAAAGUACCAAAUUAUUAGUGUUUGUAGAUUUUUGGCUUUUGGAUUAAGGGAUGUGCGGUUAGGAUUAUGUGGGACCUCUAGGAUUGAAUGGAUGGUUGGUUGAAUAGUAUGAUAUAAAAGAUAGAAAUGAUCAAAGGGAUAGAUCUAACAGUAAAAAAUUUACAAGUACAAAGUGUUUGGUAUUUUUACAAACACCAUAGCCGGAUACUCUCUCUUUCUCUAUAUAUAUAUAUAUAUAUAGAUUUUACACUAUAUACUUAACAUUCAAAAAAAUUCAAAUUGUUACAGCAAAAAGGGAAAGGAAAAUUUGAUUGUGAUAAGUAAAAAAUAAUAAUUUUUGGUACAAAAGUACAAGAUAUAUACCCAAUUUUUGGUGUAUACGGACUAUUGCUAAGAAGCAAAAUAAAAGCUCUGUUUGUAUAUUUGAAAAGAGAGUAUAGAUCUUAUACCCCACAUAUUAGGAUUUACAAAAAUUCAAAUUAUCUUUAGUAAAUAAGAAAAAAUUUAAUAUAAUAAGUAAAAAAUGAUAGCCAUUGAAUUAAAAGGCUGUAAAAUGUACGCUUUAGGAUGUACUAAUUGCAUUACUUAGAAAGGAAGAGAAAAUUUAUUUAUACACUCCAAAAAAGCUUGUAAAGAAAAAAAAAGAAAAGAAAAAUGAUGUGAUUGGUAAAGAAUAAUGUCCUUCGGAUUAAAAGAGUGGUAAAAAAAGGUUGUUGCUAACUGUGCAUUUUCACAUAGUUGCAGGGAGUAUAUUUGCAUUAUAUGUAGUGGUGCAAAUCGGUUUGGCCCAGCUCGGAUUCAAUUUCGGGCCCGGCCGUACCAGACCCAAGUUGCCUAUCCUCUCGCCCGGCACAGCCCUUCGGCUUGAAAGGCACGGGCCGUGCCAGGGCGGGCCGUGCUUCGGGCCGGCCUAGUACAGUAUUUAUUUUUUAAUUUUUUUUAAAAAAUUAAGUAUAAAAUUUUAAAAAAUAAACAAUAAAUAUUUUUAUUUAAAUUAAUAUUUUGAUUAAAAUAUUAAAAAAAAUCAUAAAAAUAAUCAUACUAAAAUAAAUACUUAAUUUAAAAAAAAAAAUUGCAUUAUUUUUUUGAAAAAAAAAAGAGAUAGAUUUUUGGUCCAAUGGACCAAAAUUCUUUUGUCCAUUGGACCAAAACCUUCUCCUCCCAAGGCUUGCUAGACAGACCUUAGGAGGAGAGCUCCUUGGGAGAAGGGCACCUCAGGAGCUCAGACCCCAUGGCCCAAGGCAAUUGGAUCUCGGGGUCCAGGCUUGGGCCGCUCGCCUCCCUUCGGCACGAUAUAGCCCAGGCCCGUUUCAGGUCAUACCGUGCCGGGCCGUCGUGCUCCAAAUAAAAGGCCUAGCACGGCCCAGAGCCUCGGGCCAGGCCGGCCCGGCACAAGUGCUAUAAUACUCGAGCCGUGCCGUGCUGUUGCCCGGCCCGAGGCCAUGCCGUGCAGGGCGGCCCACGUACCGCACAACCCGUUUUACAUCCCUAGGAGCAAAAUAGUAGCUUACAAUGUUUGGUGGUGGGAAAUGAAUUUUAAGAGGUAGUUAGGUAGCUUAAUACAAGUGAUUGUGUUUUGGAGUUCUUUGACUCCAACAAAGUUGUUGCUAGGGCUGGUAAUUCAGCUCGCUGCUCGUGAGUCAGCUCAUGUUUGACUUAGAAUGAGCUCGAGAUCGAUUGCUUGUUCAAUAAACAAAUCUAACAUGAGUUGAAUUUUUCAGCUCAAAAGUUUAACAAGCCGAAAACUAGUUAGAGUCAACUCUAACGAGUCGAACAUGAGCUAACUUGCAAACAACAAAUUAGAUUGUCAGCCCUACUAAUGGAUAAAAAGUUGAAAGAAAUUAGAAAAUUAGAAUCUUAAUCUACUAAUUGGUAUUCACAAAAUAUAAUUUUCUUUACAUUAUAUACAGAGAGAUAGAGCUAGACUCUUAUACUAUCUGUAAUACCGAAACUCUGGCACUAUAGUCUCGCUUUUAAUCUUUGAAUGUUCAAAUCAGCGAUCCAUACCGUUAAAACUGAUCUAUUGUAUUUUAAAAUUUUUAGAAAUAAAAUUUUAUAUUUUUUCGAUAUAGUUUAUUUUAUGAUCAAAAUAUUUCAAAAUUGUCAAUUUUCAAUGACUAGUAUGGUGAAUUUAUAGUUUAAAGGUGUAGAAGAAUCUAAAUUUAUUCAAAUUUUGAUAGAAAAUACUUUAAACUAUCAAAAUCAAGAACAACAUCCUUGAUCUUGAAUUUAAAAGUUCUAUCCUCAAAUUUUAAAAAUUGUUCAAUUUCAACCAUUCAUUUUGACAUGAUUUACUUACUACGUAAACAAUGUCGAAAAAAAUCAAAAUUUUAUUUCUAUGAACUUCAUAUACCCUAUAUCAUAUUUAACAGUAUAGAUCGUUGAUUUGAACAUCCUAAUAUCAAAAACGAGAUUAUAGUAUCGGAGCUCCGGUACUACAGAUAGUAUAGUACUCUAAUUCUAUAUAUAUAUCUAUAUCUAUACUCUAUGUAAAAGCAUAUAAGAAUUCUGGCAAUGACAAACGGAAUUCAAAAAGGAAUAAAAUAAUAUCUCUACAUUUCCUACAAACGGAUAUGAUCAGUUUAUUAAAAAAAUCUCAAAUAAGAACAGUUAUGAUCAAUCUGUUAAAAAAUAGCAUUCUUAUCUAUCUAUAAAUCCAAUCCUACGAACAGUUGUAUCAAUUAAAAAUGAACGGCUAUGAUCAAUCUGUUAAAGAUAGCAUUCUUAUUCAUUUAUAAAUUCAAUUCUAUGAACGGUUGUGAUCAAUUAAAAACGAACGAUUAUAAUUAAUCAGUUAAAAUUUUAAUCUAAAUAAAAAAUUAAACUUUAUUAUAAAUUUAAAUUUAAAAAAAGUUUAAAUCGUAAAUUAAAUUUAAUUUGGGUAUCAAAUUUGAACUAUUCAUCAAUUGUGAUUAAUUAAAAACGAACGGUUAUGAUCAAUCUGUUAAAAUUUUAAUUUAUAUCGAGUCUACAAACGAUUGUGAUCAAUUAAAAACAAAUGGUUAUGAUCAAUUAAAAACGAACGGUUAUGAUCAAUCUAUUAAAAAAUAGUAUUCCUAUCUAUAUCUAUACUAUAUAUAUAUAUAAAAGCGUAUAAGAAUAUUUCCUACGAACGUUUAUGAUAAAUUUAUAAAAAAAAAUAUCUCAUACAAGAUCAAAAAUACCCUCAAUAUUUGUAUUUUCUAUCUGCGCAUUUCUCAAAUAUUUUCUUUCUAUCCGCCAAUCACGUAAUAUAUAAAAUUAAAUUAAUAUCCGACAAUCACGUAAUAUGUAAAACUAAAUUUAUCUCUUAUCUACGCAUUUUUUCAAAUAUUUUUUUUUCUCAAAUGUAAUAGCCGUCAAUCACAUAGCACUCAAAAUUAAAUUUUAAAUUUUGAAUUAAGCAUAAAUUAAAUCUAUUAUAUACACUUUCUACGUGUUUUCUUAAAUAUUUUCUUUCAUAGUACCCGCCAAUCACGUAGUGCUCUAAAUUAAAUUUUAAAUUUUACUUUAAAUUUUGAAUUAAAUAUGAAUUAAAUCUACUAUCUACACGUUUUCUCAAAUAUUUUCUUUCUAACAUACCGCCAAUCUUUUCUAACGUAAUUCAUGCCAAAAUUUAAUACUUGCAAAUAUGAUAAUUUAAAAUUUAAUUCAUGAUAAUAUAUUUUCUUACGUGAUAUAGUAGAUUUAAUUUUAGGGUAUUACAUUUUGGCGUGCCAUGUAAGCGUAGAAUAUUACUAAAAAAAUUUAAUACCUGCCCAAUCAAAUGUAAAUCAUUAAUUAAAUAUAAUUUUAAUUUUUUUUAGCAAAAUAUUUAAUGUUUAACUAAUACCCGCUAAAAUAUUCUACACUUAACGUGUUUCUCAAAUAGAGAGCUUAUCUUAAUAUUAUUAAAAAAAUUUAAUAUCUGCCCAAUCAAAUGUAAAUCGUUAAUUAAAUAUAAUUUUAAUUUUUUUUAGCAAAAUAUUCAAUGUUUAACUAAUACCCGCUAAAAUAUUCUACACUUAACGCGUUUCUCAACUAGAGAGCUUAUCUUAUUACUCUCGCAUAAUACUAAUCUACACUAUCUAAUCUUAUCUCAUCAUAAUACUUAUCAUACGCAUAUCUUUUUUCAGUAUUUCCCUAUUUCCAAAAAAGAUAUUUUUCCAUUUCCACCCAAAUCUAUAUUGUUUUUAGUAAUAUUCUUUUUUAUUUGUAUCUUUUUCAAAUAUUUUCAAUUUUUUUUUUACUAAUAUCCUUUCUCAUUUGUCCCUGUCGCUAGCAUCGGCACAUCGUCAUCGUCCUCUUCACUGUCAUCGUCAGCACCAAUGCCGCCACAUUAUCGCCUUCGCCACCUUCGCCACAUUUAGAGAGGUAUUUUGAUUUAACCUAAAAUUUUCUCUUUUUUUUUAUGUGAUUUUAUACUGUUUUAGUAUAUCUCUUUUUAGUAUUUCUUUAUUUUCAUCUAUAUAUUUCUCAAAUAUAAAUUAUAUAUUUUUUCACAUAUAUUUUUCUCAAAUAUUUUUUUUAGUAAUAUCCUUUUUCAUUUAUCCCCGUCAUCAGCACUAGUGCACUAUCAUCAUUCUCCUCAUUGUCAUCGUCAUCAUCGGCGCCGGCAUAUUGUCGUUUUGGGCACUUUCACCACAGUUGGAGAUGUAUUUGGAUCUCACUUGAAAUUCUUUUUUUAAUGUGCUUUUAUACUGUUUUACUUUUUAAGUUUUUUUUCAGAACUUUUAUCUCUCAUAUUGAGAUUGGGGUUAAAUUUAAGCAUAAACAGAAAUAAAAUUAUUAUUUGGAAUUUGAAUUGCUCAGAUUAAAUAUGGAUAAGCCUGCAUAAUUUCGGCCUAUAGCAUAUUUAGAUUUGUACUUAUGACUGUAAUAAACUCACUGGGCUAAACUAAAAAACCAAAAAAAAAAAGAGAAAUGUAGCUAAUUAAUUUGGGCUUGAACUUGCUUAGAUUGUAAUUUGGACUUGAAAUUGCUUAGAUCUGAAAUAAAUUUAUUAGGAAAAGAAAGAUUUGAGUUGAUUUGGGCUUAGGCUUGCUUGGGUGUACUAAAUUAUAUAUACUACUUAUAAAAAAUAAGUUUUAAUUUUUUUUUCUUUUUCAAAAUGCUAUCCCCUAUUAAUAUAAUUUCAAUCACAUACUAACAAUAUCACUCAGUCAAUUUUUAUAGAUAUAAAUCACAGUGGUAUAAUUUUUAUUUCAUUUUUAAAUUAUCAUAAAAUGUAUUAAUUCUUAGUCAUUGGAUAUAAUCCAAUGACCAACGAAUUAAGUAUCUGUCACUUUUUUUUUUACCUACCCUAUCUCCUUAGACUUCUUUAAAAAAAAAAUUCAUGCCAAUGGUUAUGAUUAAUUUAUUAAAAACAUCUCAAAUAAAAAUAAAUAGUUAUAAUCAAUCUAUUAAAACAUAGCAUUCUUAUCUAUCAAUAUAUUAAAUCUUUAAAUGGUUAUGAUUUAACCAUUAAAAUUUUUUAAGUAUAAUGGAUCAAAAUUAAAUUUUAACAAAUUUAAGUUUAUAAAUUUUGGAUAUCACGUUUGAAUUAACAAUUAAAAUAUUUAAUUACGAUGAAUCAAAAUUAAAUUUCAAAUUUUAAAGUAAAUGUGAAUUAAAUUUUAAUAUUUUUAGUUUAAAUAACAUACUUAAAUUUUAAAUUUAUCCAAAUUCAAAAAUAUAUAAAAAUAUUCAAUGUAUAUAUUGAAAAAAUAAUAUAAAAUGUUGCAGAUAUUUUCUAAUAAAAUAUAACAUAUUAAUUUAUAAAACAUAGUUUUUGUUGUAAAUUUUUGAAAAAAAAUAUAAUGUUAAAAAUUUAUAUUGAUUUGAAAUAAAUUAAAAUAAUUUUUUGUGCAUUUGCAUGUACACUCAGCUAAUAUAAUAAACAAGCCGAAGACGUGAUGAAUAUUUUAACUCAAUAUUUUAACAGGCAAGCUCAUGUUUGGCUUGAUUAAUAAACGAGUGAACACAAGGCGACCCCAACUCGCUUGCGUUCGGCUCAUUUGCAGGCCCCAUUUAGCUUCUCAAUAAUAACUUGUGAUAGAAAGCAUAUAUAAUUAGAAAGAGUUUCAAACUUAGCUCACACUAUCUAUAAAAUAGAGAGGCAAUUGCUUAUAUAUCCAUAAAAAGUUUCCGACUUUCUAAUUUACCCCUCUUAGAAGGCUAAUAUUGAAAAUACCCUUUUUAAGUUCCAACUCAUUUCAAAUAUACCCCUAUAGUUAAAACCUGUUAAUAAAUUUUGUUAUCUGUAUAAAAUUACUAUUUUACCCUUUCAAAUAUACCCUUCCAUCAUUACCGACUUUUCUUAUUUGCCCUUAAGUCAGGGGCAUAAAAGUAUUUUGACUUUUGGUCUUUUCAAAUAUACUCCUCUACCAUUACCAACAUUUCUUAUUUACCAUUAAGUUAAGGGCAAAAUUAAUAUUUUAAAUUUUUUUUAACUGUGGUAGAUAUUUAACUCACGUUUAACUCAAGUUAACUUAACGGGUACGGUGGUAACUGUGACAUAUGAGAAGUUUAUUGAAAAGAAAAAAAAAAUAGUGGUAAAUGAGACAUUCCCGAAAUUUCGCAAUUAUCCCUAAAAUAGAAAAUAAAUCAAUGAUGAAAAAAAAAAAUUUGAACCAUUCCCAGACGUUUUGCCUCUUGCUUCGUCUUUUCAUCUGCCUACUUUUUAAUUAAUGUAUUCACAUGGUCUAUUAUCACCUAAAUAAAUCGUUUUUACAAGAAAAAAAUAAUAAAAUAAAAUUUUUUUUACUCUUUUUUUUUCAUACUAGUAUUUAUUCAUGUCUCAUGGCAAUUCAAAAAAUUUUAAAAUUUUUAUUUUAUCAAUCUUCUAUCUUUUAUAGUUUUA
rnacentral:lncRNA from 1 species